rnacentral:lncRNA from 1 species
UUUUUUUUUGUUUUUUGCAAUGAAUCUAAUCAUCUCACCAAUGCUUGUUUGUGUGUUUGUGUAUGUAUAUAUAUGAUUGCAGACUUUCCUUCAAAGCAAUGAUGAGGCUUUGAAAAUCUUCAAGGACCAUGCUGAUAGUUAUAUUUGCUCUGUGCUUCCUCAAAGUCCUUAUUUCAAAGUACCCAAGACUCCAGGUCUCUACUUCACUUCUCCAUCAUCAUGUUUGCUUUUCAAAAAGAUUGAAAACUAACCGAGUACUAAUCUGAAAUAAGGGAAUGGAUUGGUUUACUCAUGAACUGGCAGUUGAAUCGUUUUUUUUUUUUAUUAUUUAAAUAUUUUUAUCAGUGGUGGAUCUUAGGACUAAGUUUUUAAAAAAAAUUUAAGAAUUUUAAUAAGAUUUUUUUUUUAAAAAAUUGAGGGUCUAAUUAAAAAUUUAAAUUUUUUUGUGAAACUAAUGAGAACUUUUAAGAAGGCUUAAUUAAGAAAAAAAGGUAUAAUGAAAAUUUUCAGUAAAUUGAAAACGCCUAAUAAAAUUUUCUAAAAAUUUCAAGGGAAAAUGAAAAUUUCCAAAAAUUGGGGGUCUAAUUAAUUUUUAUUUUAAAUUUUAAGGGGAAAUGAAAUUUUCCUAGAAUUUGGGGACGAUUGGUCACCAUUACAGUUUCAUUUGAUUAUUAUGAUUUUAAAAUAAUUUAUUCAAUUGAACCGAUAGACGAACCAAAAAUUAAUGAUUUGAUCAGUUUAAUUAUUGGUUCCGUUUUGAAAAAUCUUGGUUGAUUAAUGAAAAUAUGACAAUUUAUAUAUUUCAGGUGGUUUGAUCCAUUUAAGAGAUGGAGCUAACCUCCAAUACGUUACCGGAGUUUCUUUCCUCUUCAGUAUCUACGGUGACUUGCUUCAACGUCACAACGUAAAGGUCAAAUGCGACUGCCAAGAGUUUGACGCCUCUACCAUCUUAAAUUUUGCUAAGCAACAAGUAAACCUUAAAAUCUUAAAUCUUAAAUCGUAAAUCUUGACUUCAAAUCCACUUCACUUAGGGAUGAAUUUGAAUUUGAAUUUGUAGAUGGAUUACAUACUCGGGGCAAACCCACUAGGGAGAUCAUACAUGGUAGGGUUCGGGAACAAUCCACCAACACAAGCCCACCAUAGGGGUGCAUCGAUACCAUUAUCGGAAGCCAACGUGGACAUCAAUUGCGGCAUGAGUUUCGCCCGUUGGUUCAAUAAGAACUCACCGAACCCUAACGAGUUAACUGGCGCCAUCCUCGGUGGACCGGACAAGCAAGAUAAGUUUAGUGAUCUACGUUGGACGUCGAUCUACACCGAGCCAUGCACUUACGUUAACUCUUUAGCUGUGGCAGGUUUGGCAAAGCUUACUUGCCAUAAGUAAUAAACCAUAGUCUAUAAUUUUGUCAUUUGUAACUUAUUUUUACCAUGUAAGAUAAAAAAAUGGACCAAUUUACUGCAUGAAAUAUUGAACUUAUAUUGUGGUGCAUUCAACACAAUUUUUUUUUUCUUUUUUUAACGUAGAGGGGAAAUGUAUUAAUAAUUUGAUAUAAUCUUUUAAAUAAAUAUAUAUUUUUAAUCCCUCCAAAAAUUAAUAAAUCAGUUUUCAGCCUUUUUAAACAUACCCCUUUAAUACUAUGUAUCAAUAUAUAAUUAUCUAAUUGCAUAGUUAAAGAAAACUUUGGUUUAAUUUUUUAGUAAAAUUCAUGCAUGAAAGUCACUUAAUAUAGGAUAAAAGGGUUAUGGAUACAACUAAAUAACCCCUUAAAAAAUUUGACUUUGUCCUUGAUGAAUAGAAUUUUGAGAUUAUUUUCUCAUAUAUAUGACUUGAAUUGAAUAAAUUCAUACAAUUAAAUACUUUAAAUAUCAUUAUUUUACUAUUUUGAUUUUUUUUAUUUGUUUACUAUAUUUAUUGCAAUUGAUUAGGAUAAUAUAUAUUCGUUUUGUACAUAAAAUCAUGUUAAAUAUGAUAAUUUUUUUAAUAUACGUUAGAAAUUAAGAUAGAUGGGUCCUUUUAAAAAUGUUUUGUCCAGGUGCAAGGAUAGCCAUAGGAUCAAAACUAGCCUUCCUCUCUACAAAUCUCGUCCAUUGAUUCCCAAAAUGCCUUUUCCACUGCUCUUUCGACUGGUAAUGAGGGAGAUAUAGCUUGAAAUCUAAACCCUCUCUGAUGCACCAUUCGACGAUUUCCCGGUUUUGUGCCACCGAUUCCUCGACCGACGGCCCUCUUGAUACGAACCGAAGCAAUGCCACAAGGUAAAAGAUUUCGCUGUCUGGUAACGCCACCGACGUACGAUUAUCCCACCUAAAAAAACACAUUCAAAAAGUUGCAGUUCACGUGUUAGAAAAUAUCCUUCGUAAAGUUUAAUGACAUGUACGUGAAAUUGGCUCCCAUAAAAUUAAGUUUAAGACCAAUUUAAAUCUGAGUUAUCGUAUGAGGACGUCUAGUGGAAUUUACCCUUAUAAAAUUAACCGUGUCUGAUGAGGUGAAAUUGGCUGCGGUCCCUAAGCUCUACAGGUGACACGUGUCGAGAUACUAAGCUUUUGAUGAGACCUCAUCGUCUAAAGCGUGGCAGACAUGCAGUUUGGGAAUACAAUCAAAGGGUCCACAAAAAUGUGUUUGUGCGAGUCAUGAUUGAAUUGAAUUUAAAUAAUAAAAAUAAUUAAAUUUAAUUAUGAAUAUAUAUAAAUUAAUAUAUUGUGCAUGAAAAAUCAUUAUUGAACAUUUUCAUAAAUGUUUGGCUUAUUAUUUUGAAUUUUUUUACCCUUACAUUGAGCCUUAAGGUGCGAAAUGGGAAAUACUCACUUGCUUCGCAUAAGAGGGUAGAUCAGCAUGGGACCACCGAUUCCAUCUUUCACCAUCUUCUUAAACACCGUCUGAUCAAAGUCAACGAUGUCUGAUUUGGAGAUGAAGAGGUUCAACCAUGGAUGCGGGGCAUCCCAAAUGCCAUUGGCCUUCGCUUGUUCCUCCGCACGCUUCACACGCAAUAAAAACUCCACGUAGCUGAGGUCCACCUGAGACUUCAACCCCUCCACGAAACGCAGCGGUUUUAAGAGUCCGGCCACGGCCUGCAAAAGGGGAAACACAGUAAAAUAAAGGUGGAGUUAGGGGCAAUCACGUAAUUUCAUAUAGAAUAAAAAGCAACUCCCUUAAAUUUCAAUGAGGAUAUAUGUACAUUAACAUAAUGUAUACGUUUAUUUUUAACAUUAUAAAUAGAUAAAAAUUUUAAUAAAAAAUUAAUUUAUUCUUUAAUUUAAUAAAAAUAAUCUAACUUUUAAUAAAUUAUUUUCAAACUAUCAAUAUUCAAUUAUACAUGUAUUUUAAGAACCCUCAAACUCAAAUAAUUAAAUUAAUGGGAUGUGCUUUUUUAAAUUUUAAUUAUAACGUUGAUGAAUUGGAACAUUUGAUAAAAGAAAAAAAAAGUAAUGAAUAAUAAUUUCUUUAAAAAAAAUUAAUAACAAAAAAUCAUAGCAGUAGUGAAUUAUUCGGUUCGUGAUAUGAUGGGAUUCGAUAAGAGGCCCGUCCUCAGUCGCUGAGGGUUGUACACGUAUAACCAAUUUAGGAAUAUUCCCACAUUGUUGAUUAAGUGGACCCAUUUUCAAUUUCAGUCAUCUUUUUUAUGCCAUUCGUUGACGUUGACUGCUUAAGGUUCUAUAUUGUUAAGUCACUACAUGAUGCGGGUGAUUGUUAAUAUAUAUAUAUAUAUCAUACAUAAUUGUAUAUUAAAAAUUAGAUUAUAUUUUAUUUUUUUAAAUAGAUAAAUUAAUUAUUAUAUGUUAAAUUAAUAAAAAAUUAGUUAUUUUUAUCAAUUUAUAUUGUUAAAAACUGAUAUAACUAACAGAAUAAACGAAUAGUGAAAUGUGAUAUGCCAUGUGUACAUCAUGUUGAUGUGCAAUGAUCAGUUUUUAACAAUAAAAAUUGAUAUAAUUUUAACAAAAAAAAUAAUUUUCUAUUUGAUUUAAUGUAUAGAGACUCAUUUACGCAUUUUAUAAGUAGAAGAGAUAAUAUGUAAUUUGACUUCUAAUGUAGGACCGACCAUAUUUCUUUUACUUAAAAAAUCCAAAUAAUGAAUAUAUAUAUAUAUAUAUAUAGAAUUAUGGUUUUAGUUUUUUUAUAAUAAUUUUGGAUUUGAGAUUUUUCAACUUUAUUUUUAAAAAAAUAUUUUUUAUAACUUUUAUACAUUAUUUAGUAAAGUUUCAAUUUAUUUAUUCAUAAAUAAUAAAAUUAAAGUAAAUAAAAAUAAUUAAUAACUUAUAUAUAGUAUUUUUGGAAAAAUAAUUUAUUUUUAUCGUAAUAAUUAGAAUUAAUUAUAAAUCAAAUAAAAACACAAAAUCCAACCCGUUUAACUGAGAUUUUUAACUUAUGAAAAAAAUUGUCCAAACACCAUUGGUUCAGACGUUAACAAAAGAAACCUUGUUGUCAAUUUCUCGGUUUCCUUUGCUCGACCUAAUAAUAAUAUUUUAAAAAUAGAGAGAAAAUAAUGUCAAGUUAUAGUAAAGAGAUAAAAUCUCUAAUUGCAACAUAAUGGAGGGACUAAAACCAUAAUUAGACAAAAAUUAUUACCUUAUCUACAGUCGAAGGGUGGUCACCCUUCUGGUAAUGAAAAGCCACUUCAAGACAGUAGAGGACUGAGGCACCGGUUUGAGGGAUAAUCCCCUGGUUGAACCCAUGAACAGGGUCCAAUGGCACGGAUGGCCAUCCAUUAACCGGGUCAUCAUUGUUGCAAAAUACAAAUCCUUCUACGUAAUCAAACGACUCGCCGUCGUCCCGACUCACCAGAAACUCAGCAUCCCGAGUGAACUCGUCGAACUCGGUGUACACCACCCUUAUCCACCUCACCUAACAACACAAAUAAAUAAAUAAAAAGACAAAAUCAUCGUACAUGCAGUGUCUCGAAACAGUGAAACCCACCAUGUCUGGAGCUGGUUGAAGCUUAACCAUAGCUCUGGUAAUAAUACCGAACUGACCAAGCCCACCGAGGGAUCCGAAAAAGAGUUCCGGAUUUCGGGUUUCGGAACAAACCAUUAUGUCUCCUUUUCCGGUAAUGAUUUCCAGUUCCGCCACGUUAGAUAUCUGAGGACCAUAACGGAAAGCUUGACCGCUAACGCCGGCGUUAGAUAACGUCCCACCAACCGUUAAGCUCAAGUAAUCAGUCCAUGACCUCGGAGCUAAACCGAACCGUGAAACGCACCUUGUCAAGACGUUUUCCCAUAAUGCCCCGCCGGAGACGUCGAUAAAAAAGGAACCGUUAAUGUUUAAGAGUCGGAAAUGGUUUUCCUCUGUAGAACGCAUGUCUAUUACUAGCCCUCCGUUUGUCAUCGCUUGACCAUUGAUAGAAUGGCCGUUACCCCUCGCCGCUACCGUCAUACGUGGGAUACGUGACGCGGCUUUGAUGACCCGAGAAACGUCGUCUGAUCCGGCAGGUUUGAUUAAAGCUAACGGUUUGGUUGAAUAAAGACCGCCGAAGUCUUUGCUGGCUAUGGUGGUUUUGUCACCGGUCUCGACACUGCCUUGGAGGUCGAUGGAUUUGGAUAAGGUUGAAACGCCGCCGUUGGGUUUCGGUUCGCCGUCGGUUUCGUGUACGGUUCGGUCCAAGUAAGCUAUCCUCAUGUUUCUGUUAUUUUUUUCUUUUUUUGGACUUGAAAUCGAAAAGUAAGCUUUAGUGCGGAGGUAAUGACCACAGGGGAGGAGGGACUUAAAUAAGGACGGAAAUGGAAGGUUUAUGAAGAUUUUCUUUUAAUGAUUUUUAAUUAUUUAAUUUAAUUUUGAAGGGUUGGCGUCGGCUUAAUUUAAUUAAAUUUAAUGUUGGAGCGCUUAAAUGGUUUUUAAUUUAACUUUUAAUUUAAUCAAGGAGUAUAGAUAUAGUGAAAUUUCUAUAUAAAAAAUAUAAUAUAAUUGUCGAUUCAGUAUUAACUUGAUUGGCAUAAGUAUUAUUGUUAAUAUAGAAGGACAUGAGUUUGACUGCGUUGAAGCACAUUGUCUUCCUAUUUAUGAGUUGAGAAGAGGCUAUGAGUACUUUUACGCAUGUUUCCAAAAAAGAACAAAUAUGAUAUCUUAAAAUUGACAACAAUUCUUACGUUGGGAUUUAAAUAUAUUUUGGUCUAAAUUAACUCUUGAAGUUGGUAAUUGUUCUCAUAUAGUCAUAUUAGGGCUUAAACUAGGUGAUUGUUCCUACAGAGGCAAGGCUAGAAUUUGCCUAUGAUCAAUCCUUAUAAUGUAUGAUUAGACUAAUAUUCAGAAUAUAUCUAAAUAAGGUCAAUACAGGGUAAUACUCAAAUUUGGAAUCUCAAUAUUUUAUUUUUCUUUUGAUACAAUGAGCCUAGAACUAGGUUGUGACCCUUUCCCACCCUUAGAUAAGAGGAUGAACACAUUUCAGUGCCAUCGAACUCACAUGCACUUGUAAUUAUAUUAUAUUUGUAUGAUUUGUAUUAUGUGUGCUUAUAAUUUGUACUUGACAUGCACUUGUAAUUAUAUUAUAUUUGUAUUAGCGAAAUUUUCAAAAAGAAAAUUCAAACUUGAUUCGAUAAUCACUGAAUCGCGUGCAUUUUUUUAAUUGUAAUUUUAAAUAAAAAUAUAAGCAUCAUCUUGUUUAUAAAAAAAUAGAUAAAUCUCAAUGUACUAAAGAUUAUAAUUUAAUUAAUGUGACAAUCUUGUUACUUAAUCAAUGAUGUUGCUUUGCAGUUUUCAUGUUGUUGAAGUAUAAAAAUUAAAAGUAACAAAAUUUCUUUAAUUGUAAGAAUAAAGUCAAAAUACAAAAAAAAAAAUUAUGCAAUUUGGUUAAAGUCAACUUAUUAAUUAAUUGAAACAACAACAAUUAAUAUUUGAUGGUACUGAAUUAGAAGAUUAAGAAGAAUCCACACAUUUCACCAGGACAAAAAAUUGAUAUAUUAUGGUUGGACCAUUAAUUAAACUAUUUAAAGUCAAAUGGAUUUUAUAUAUUUUUUAAAAAUAAUUAAAUAAUGAUUUUUAAAUUGAAAUGGGUGUAGCAUUUGAACUACUGGUAUGUUUGUAAGCAACAAGAAUAUUCAUGAAAUCCAGUGGAGAAGCUUAGAUUUAAAAUAAUUAAUUUUAAUUUUAGUCAAAACAAUUUUUUUAGUGGAGGAAACAUUAGAUAAUUACUUAAUAAAAAUAUAUAAUAGUGUGUGAUGUUAUAUUGUACCUAAAGAAAAAGAAAGUGUGGUUUAAGGGUCUUGAUCCUCAUUAGUUUACACGGUGUAAAAUUUAAGAGGGUUUGAGUAAAACUAUUAAAUUUGAAAGAUAAGUUUGGAUAAAAAUUAGGCCUGUUUAAAAUAUGAAUCGGACUUGAACUUAUUUUAUUACGGAUGUAAUUUAUGCCGUGUAAAGAUUAAAUUUAUAAUAAUAUAUAAUAUUAUUACCAAUUCAUAGGUAGUACAUGUGAUUAAUGUGAAUUUAAGGGUAAAAAAAGUAAAAUUAAUGAAUUAUUUUUUCCUGUUAAAAAUAAAAUAGUAUUCAGAUAAUCAUUGACUUUAUUUAAUUACUAUAUUUAUUAAAAAUAUUAUUUUAUUUUUUAAGGGUGGGAAGUCAAAUGAAUUUUAUUUUUGGACUUUAAAAAAGUCAAUUUCUUAAUAUUUUUAAUUGAAAGUCGGUGAGUAAAUUUCGCCUCCAAUUUAUCUUUUUCUUUAAUAUUUUUUUUUUUAAUUUUGAGACGGCUAAAAUAUAUUCAAAUUUAAUUCUUAAAUUAUUCAACUAUAUUAACUACAUAUUAGGUCUCUUGUAAACUUAAACGAAAGGAUUUAAAUAAUAUUAAUUUUUGUAUUUUAACUCGAUUAAUUUUGAUGUUAUAUUAUUCGAAUUUUAAAAUUUUAAUCAUAAUUAAAUGGUAAUCGUUAAAUGCGUUAGUAUAAAUCGUAGAUUUAGUUCAUAUUAUCAAUUUAAUCGAUUUUAGCCUCCACACAUGUAGAAAUAACAAGUAGACAUAAUAUUACACAUGUGGUAAUAUUUUUGUCAUGAAAUUUUGAAAAUAAUAUAAUUUAAAUAAAGUAGUGUUUCGAGGAAAUUAAUGAAAAUUAAGUAGUCAAUUGUUUAUUAAUAUAACAUUCACGAUAAUUUUUAAAUCCAUGAAUUUCAUUCUUAUAAUUUAUAUAAAUAAAAUCUAAAAUUUUAAAUCAAUGCUUCCAAAUCGAGCAUUAAUGAAUUAACCGUUAUUAUUUGAUUAAGAUUGAAAUUUGAAAAUUUAAUUUUCUUUAAAAAAUAAAAAUUACUAAAUUAUAUAUGAAUAAGCUAUCUUUUCAAUAAUAUUUGAGCAGACAGAGCAUUAGAUCGAUUUGUUUAUAUUUUUAUAUAUUUAAAAUUUAGUCCAUUUAUUUUUCUUUUGAGAAAUUUGAUCUCUUUUACUUUUUAAUUUUUAAAAUUCAAAUCAAAUCAUUAAUAUUAUUAUUAUUAUUUGAUUAAAUUCAUUGGUCUGACAUUUUUAAAUUCAAAAAAUAAAAGGACUAAAUUAUAAAUAUAUAAGAGUAUAAGGACUUAGCUCGCGUUUUAACCUAAAACCAAAAGACAUGUCCGAAGUUCUCCAACCGUUGCCCUCGUUUCACAACGGUCAUUAACUGCCAUCUCGCGCCUUUUCCACCCAUAUAAAACAAGUUUCGUAAACAACAGCCUCCCCAUUCUCAAUUGUCGGCUGUUCACGGUGGCGCUUCUAUUUCUAGCGCCACCAACGACGGCCAAUAACUCCUUUCAAUCUCUUCAAGGAAAACCACCAUGGGGGAUCCAAACUCCGACCUGUUUAAUGACACCCAAUAUUCAGAGGAAUUCAUGGAAAUAAUCAACGCCGCCAUUAAUGUCACUUCUUUAGAGCUUUGGGAUACGAAUCCGUUCAGUGGAGAAACCAGUAAUAAAAUCGAAACGAAUUUGGGUGGAAAUGAAAUCCCGGAACCCGUUCCCCUGCAAUUACCGACGAACGAUGACUUUCCUGUUGAUAUUGAUAGUCUUUUAAUGGACCCGAGUGAAAAUAAGUUGGGAAAUGAAAUCCCGGAACCAGUUUCCCUCAAAUUACCUACGAGCGAUGAACCUUUAGAUAUUGAUAGUCUUUUAGUGGAUCAAACAGAAAUGAACUUGGGAAAUGAAUUCCAUGUACCGUUUUCAUUUCCUUCUUCGAAAGCCAUUGUUGAAUACAAUGGAGAAACUAGUAAUCAAGGGAAAACAAAUCCGGGAUUUGAAUGUUAUUGUUGCGAAAUAUUGAGGGAAAUUAAUCAUUUUGAUGGUAAUGUUCUUUUUUUUGAAUUUUCGGUAAAAAUGGCUGAUUUUAGCAGAGAUUUAUGUUGUUCUUUGUUGUACAGGUGGAAUUGUAACGAAACUUCAACUACAUGGAAGAUUAGUUGGAGUUCUCUUUCAUGCAGUUCUUGAUGUUGCGCAAAGUAACCAAGUUGUGUCUCGUGAAGUGUUCAAGUAAGGGUUUUUCAUUCUUCUUUAACAUCCGUUAGUUUUUUUCUGAUCGUAAAGGUCGGGAUUGGUCCUGGAUUAACAUAAGACGGGAUUGAAUUGGGUUUUUCUUUUUGAACAGUUUCCGUGGGAAAAGCUUGCUGGAAGUGAAGCAGUUUCUAAGAGAGUAUUGCAUGAAGAGAAAACAAGAGGGAUAUACAAUGCUGAAGGAUCCAAGAUCUAGUUUUUUUGAAGCAUUAUGCAUAGGGUUUGAUUGGUACGAAAAUCCGACUACCAAUACGAACCUAGGUACCCGACUUCCCCGAAUAUACUUGUAUCAAUCACAUAUUUAGCAAAAUAUAAUGAUAUUUGUUUUAUAGAGGACAUUCCAAACAACUUGGGGCAGGCAUCGGUCUCUAACACGGAACAAGUUGUUGCUGCAACAACUAACGAAGCUGACAGCAAUAGCAAUGACAACAAUCAAAAGUCUUCGAUUUCCUUAACGGAACAGGUCAAAACUAAUGCUGUUGAGUUCGAGUUCGGGUUCGGAUUUCUUUUUACUGAAAAUAUUCAUUUUGUUUAAACCACAGCGAAAGAGAAUAAAAGAGAUGAGAUUAAUUGAUUUAGCAAAUUAUUUGCAUCUGCCAAGGAAAGAAGCAGCCCAAAAACUUGGACUAUCCGAAACUGUAGUCCACAACAUAUGGUGCAAAGGCAACGGUGGUGGCAAACGAAGGUGGCCUCAUCGAAAGGUGAUCGUAAAAACUGACAUUUGUUACUGCAUUUGCAUAUAUCAUAUUUAGUAACAGUUUUUUUAUUGCAUUUGCAUAUAUCAGAUUCAAAGCAAAGUGAAGGAAAUCAUGAAAUGGAGAGAGCUAUUGAGUUCAGAUGAUCCGCAGGUAAGAGAUCGUGCUGGAGUUGAAAUCCUUCUGAAACAAGAACAGUUGGCUCAAAUAUAUAGAGAAGGUUUAUCGCAGUAUUUUUUCUGAGAGUUUGAAGGCCACAUUAUUAUUUUUGGGAUUAUUUUGGAUUUGUUUGAAUUGUAGUAAAAACUACAUUAUUAUUUGGGAUCCUCCUUAUUUAUAAUUAUUUCAUGUUCUGGGUUCAUUUUUCUUCUCAUUUCAUCAACUUCUUUGAUCAUUCUACGAUUACAAGUCACCACAUCACCUCCUCCUCUACUAAUAUUAUUUUGUGUAUAAGUAGAAACGCACCAGGACCAACUAUACUACCAAUCAGUCGAUUUAAUCACUUUGUUUGAACAAGUAUACGAACUAAUCAAUCUUCUCUACCACCAUCAUGAUAGGCUAUAGUUGAUAUAACUAGUUCCACCAUACAAACAAUAAGGAAAAUGUCUAUUGCUGGGUUUGUAUUAGCACUUAUACUUCAAUCAAAUUAAAAUUUUAGUCCUUAUCAGUCCGUCGAUCUGAUUAGUCUGUUUGAUUCGAUUAUCAAGCCAUUAAAGAAAUCAUAUAAAGUAUAAAAUAUUAAAAAUCUGUUUAGAAAAACAAAAAUCCUUCUCCUUUCCAAUGUGUUUAGAAUCAGAUUGAUUGUUGAAUCGGUCAAGCCAUCAGUUUGUCGGUCCGAUUAGUCUGUUUGAUUCGAUUAACAAGCCAUUAAAGAAAUCAUAGAAAAUAUAAAAUAUUAAAAAUCUGGUUCAACUACUUCAGUUUAAAAUCCAUAAACUAAUUCAGGUUUUAUUAUCCCUAAUCCUGUUAGAAUAAUUAAUUUAUACACCACAAUGAAUUAAAAGAAACCUCCACAAACGAGCUUAGAAUAUUAUCAUGUGUCCUUAUAAAAAUUAAAAUAAAAUUACAAAAUUGAUAGUUUAACAACCACUUAUAACCCCAAAAAACCCCUUCAAGGACCAUUUUAAAAAUUAGGGUAUAGUUUAGGAACCAAUUUGCAAAUAAAACCAUAAAAACUAAAUAAAAAACAGCCCAUUUAGCUAAAUUGAAUCUUAUAUAUCUUUUACGCCUAAACCGAACGAAGCCCAGUUUUUUCUCUUCACCCUUUUCUCCAAUCACCAAAUUCGCAAAAUAGCAAUUAAGCGAAGGGGUUCGGGGUUUCAAGCUAAAAACUAUUAGUUAAAGAGUUACAGAAAAACAUAUGGGGGAUCCUUAUUAUAGAUACCCUUUAGCUGCCGCAGAUAGAGGUACUUUGUUUUACCCCUAAAUUUAACUUUUUUUUGCAGCCCAGAAUGUUAACUUGUUUGAUUAUUAGGAUUUUGUUCUUUGGGACAUUGCGAAUUCUUACUCUUUGUUGUUCUUUAAUUUGAAUUUAGCUCUUUUUUCCCCUGUAAUGGGUGUGUUUUUAUAUGAUAUUGUUUGAACCUGUUUAGCUCUGAUUUGCAGAAUCAGAAAUUAUGGUCUCGUUUAAUGGGAGUUGCAUUUUACUAUGAAUUCUGUUAGACUCUUUUCAGGCGCUAAUCCAGAAAGUUUUUUAGCGGGCCGGAGUUGAGUUAUAAUUUUUUUGUGAGGUUAAAGUGUAGUUUUAUCUUGUAUUAACUUAUGAUUUCAUCACUUUUGGAAGGACUAAAUAGAAAUCUUUUCAUUUUUUGGAGGGCCAAAGUACAAUUUUACCACAUAGUAACUUUUAAUUCUAUCAUUUAUUUGGGGACUAAAAGAUAAUUUUUCCAUAUGGGGGGUGGGGGGGCUGAAUCUUUGCAUUGUGAAUAUGCGGUGUUCUUUUAAGUUACACGAGUGUUCGAUAUGGGUACUUCAUAGUGCUGUCUCCGUAUUGAUCUUUAGCAAGUUAACGUCGUUUUAUUGAUAGUCCGACUCUUUUUGCAGCAGGUAGUAUUCCGAGGUCUGCAUUUCCUGGCUACUUUUCUUCCGAAGCACCCUCGUUGCCGUCUCAUCAUGCUGAUAUGCAGGUUGCUUCUUCCGAUGUAAGGCGGUUCUCAGUUCUAGUGUGAUACCAUUUUUGUAAAUGACUUUGGCAUUUUAUAACUGGAUGUCCCUUCCUUUGUGUUGGUAUUUUUUUGAGUAGAUAAAUCAAAUGCAACCUGGGAAGUAUGGGGUGAAUGAUAUUUCUAAUCCUGGAGUUUAUCCUGAGUCCAACCUUGGUGGUUUAUCAGCUGGAGCAAAUACAAGGGCUUAUCCAUCUUCUUUCGGAGAUCCAAGUUUAGGUACUCAAAGAUGGAAUGCUUCUGUAGGUAUCCAUUCAAACACUGGAGUUCAUCCUGAACCUGGUUAUGGUGGUGUGUCGGCUGGACCUCCCAUUAGGGAAGUUCCAAAUUUAGUUGGCCAUCGAUGGGAUACUCCUGGCGUUAGUUCAAGUGCUGGAGUUCAUCCCGAGCCUAGUCUUGGUACUGCAUCAGCUGCAGCUACCAUUCGGGGUUAUUCAUCUCCGUUAGAAAUUCCAAGUUCCGUUGGCCAAAGACGGGAUGUUCCUGUAGGCAUUAGUCCAAGUUCUGGACUUCAUCCCGAACCUAGUAUUGGUUCUGUACCGGCUGGAGCUAGCAUAAAGGGUUAUCCUUCUCCUCUAAAAGAUUCAACCUUAGUUGACCAAAGAAACGACAGUCCACCGGGCACAAAGCCUGGCAUUCCCGAUGCGUUAGAUGAAAACGCUUCUGCGAGAAAUGGUUAUGGUCACAUAGAUGCUGUUGGAGAUUCGAACAUUUUGUUCAUUGAUGGUCUUCCUACUAACUGUACGAGGAGAGAAGUAGGUCGUAUCCUUUUUAUUUUCGCAUGCAUGCUUUCGUGAAUAUGGAAAUAUUCCUCAGCAACUUUCCGAGAAAGUUCAAACAAUGCUUAAGAAAUAACACACAUGCUUCACGAUAUCACGCAAAAUUAAACUAUUAUAUGCCAUUGUUCUCCUUUACUUAACAUCAAAGAUCUUUUCCGUCCAUUUACCGGCUACAAAGAUAUCAAAGUUGUUCACAAGGAACCAAGGCGUGUAAGUUCACCACUCAAUCAUUUCUCUUGAUUUAGGUUCCCGUGUUGGGGAUGAAUGGCUUAAUAUACCAAUAUGUUGACAUAUUUCGAUUCGAUUAUUCCAUUAAUUUAGUUUUAUUUAUGUUCUUCGUAGAGGGGAGAUAGAGCGAUGGUUUUAUGCUUUGUAGAGUUUGACGACUCAAAAUGUGCAAUGACAGCCAUGGCAGCUCUUCAAGGUAAUCUAGGCUUGAAAAAAUCGCAUAUAGAACUUUAACAGAGAGAUGAAUAACAGUGCAUUGAAAGUGUUAAGUGAUGUUAUCCGGCAUCUAUUGGUUAUUGGGUUUUCUUUAUACUUAACCCGAGCCCCAAUGAUUAUUUCCAAAACCAGAUUUAGGUUAGAUGCUUUAACAUGUGAUCUGCAUCUGUUCAUUAUUAGGGGUUUCGUGUGAUCUUAUAUUAAAGUCGGACCAAGCCACCUAUUGUUGGUAUCAUUGCUUUUUCAAUAUCAUAUGUGCCAUAUGGGUGGUGAUAAGUUGAACUUUUUCUGCAGGUUACAAGUUCGAUGACAAGAAACCCGACUCUCCAGCCUUGCGAAUCCAAUUCGCACAUUUCCCUUUCCAUCUUCAAAACGAUCAAAAUGAUUAACGGGUUGAGUUCUAACCAGGGAUUUAAAUUGCAGCUGCAGACUUAGUUUUGAUUGUGUUGCAUUUACUGUGGUUUGAGGAUGUAAUGGUUGCUAUCAUGGUAAAUAUCGGUGAGACCUUGGAUUCCUUUAUGGUAUGGACAUGUUGAUGUACCCAAAUUUCAAUCAUGUUAAACCAGUAUCUAGACCAGAUCAGUUCUUAUCUUGUAAUGACCAUCACAUACACAGCAGAUCUUUUUUAGAAUUUCUAUUUCAUUUUUCUCUUCAAGAUUAUGUAUUGGAUUCUCUUAUCUUGUGUACAAAUAUGGUUAUAAAUAAUUUUUUUAGCUUAUAAUUAUAUGUUAAAAAUGUAUAAAUAUUUGGUAUCAUGAAACUUAGGAUGUGUUAGAUUUGAAUAUUUAACUUUAAAUGUGUUUUUUUAAAUUUUUUUUAAAUUUUUUAAUAAUAUUUUUUAGUCCAUAUAAAACUUCAAAAAAACUGUUGAAUAAGAGUUAUCUUCAUUUAAUUCAAUUCUUUAAUUUGAUAAUUUUUUCAAUUAGGUCCUUAAACCUUCUGUUAUACCCUAUUAAUUUUACAACUUUUCUUAAUUUUGUCUCUAAAUUUGGAUUCCAUAAUAAUUUGAAAAAAAUUUACAUCAAAGACCAAAAAUAUUAAAAAUUAUAUAUAAAUUAUAAAGUAUUUUAAAAUUUUCAUAUGAUGAAGUGAAACAAUCUCGUAAUGUUAUCACACAAGUUUAGGGAUCAAAUUAAAAAAAAAAAAUCUACCAAAUUCAAGACUAAAGUGAAUAAAAAAGUGCAGGGACCAUUUUGAAAUAAUUUCGAAGUUCAGAGAUUAAAUAUUACUUUAUCCCUUAAUUUAAAUAAUCAAAGUAUAAGGACUUAAUUAACGAAAGUAAACUAGUUUAAGGACUCAUUUAAUAGUUUAGCCAAAAAUGUCGUACAAUGAAAUUCGAGCGGAUCCAAAUCGGGUCCAAACAAGAAAUGCUGGGAAAAUUCACCUGUGUAAACUAUAAUCUUUCAGAUCCAAAAAAAAAACCCGAACCUGAAACAAAGCUCUAGCAGAGACUAAAGCUAUAGAAAGAAAAUUGCAAAUAUCCGUUUAGAACAGAUUGUGGAUCUGUUUAAUUGACGAUGGUAAUGGAACUAGGGAACGGCGAUGAUGGCGUCACCUCAUCGGCGUCACCGACCUCCGCCAUGGCCAGUGUUCUCCCUCUCGCUUCCGUCUCUCAACAGCCUUACGUGUCCGAGCUCCUCUCCUUCACUCUCGAUCGCCUCCAUAAGGUUCGUUUCUUUUUUUUUCUUCAUUUCUUUCCAAUAUGUUUUGAGAUCUGAAUCGUGUUUGUUGAACGGAAAAAGGAGCCGGAACUUCUUCGAGUUGAUGCGGAAAGGAUUCAGAGGCAAAUGCAAGAAGUUGCUGUUGGUAAUUACCGCGCUUUCAUUUCUGCCGCCGAUGCGUUGGUUGCUAUCAAAGAGGAACUAUCUUCUAUCGAUAAGCAUCUCGAAUCUCUGGUAAUUAACUUUAUUAUCAUUAAAAUUUUUCAUUUUUUUUUCCUUUUCUUUGUUGUAUUACUUGUUAUUUGUUGUCUAAUACAGAGAUUUCGUUUGAUCUAUGGAGUAUUACGAACUAACUUGGAAAGUACUAAAUGUACAUUAGUUGGAAGAUUGGAAAAGAGUAAGGAAAUUCUAUAAGGUAGCCUUUGGGAACUUGAAUUUAGAAUUUGGAUGUGGAUUUGGAUUUCAACGGUGUAAAUUGAGUAGUAGAAUAGUUAGAAAUGUAACAUUCAUAAUAAUUUCUCAAAUCCUUGGAUUUGUUAGAAUACUUUUCUAAUGAUGUUAUAUUGAAUAUCAACCAAUUUGUCAAUAAUCUAUGCAUUUCAUUCUUAGCAUUUAUAUAAUAAAUGAAACUCAAAUCCAUGUUCGCAAACGGAGCAUAAUUGUUUUCAAGGAGCGUUGAACACUCUUGAAAGUUUCACUUGGAAAGUUUUAGCUGUGGGGCUCUAAAGUCAGGUAAUAGAUUUGCAAUUUUAUGGAGUGGUGUAGGCAGUUUCCUGGCUAUCUUCUGGAUCUCAAGAGUUAGGAGUGGUUGUCUUAGCUUAUGAUUAUUAGAGCAAAAAUCUAGAGAAAAUAGCUUAGUUAUUUUGCACUAGCUGUGAUGUUUGUAUUAGUUGUGAAAACUUCUUUCGAUAAAGCAUGAAGGCUUACAGUUGGAUUUCUCCCAAUGUGAUGAAAUAUUACAUGAGAACUGUUUUCUACCACCUGAUGUGUUUACUUUCUCUCUGGGGAUUGUAUAUACAAGAUUCAAUGAGUAGAUAAAGAAGGUAGAACUUGUAAAUUUUGAUGACCAAUGAGAUUUAUGUAAGGUUACUCUAAUUUUAAAAGGAGGGUAACAAUCUCAUGCCAACCUCGGAGUUACAAAAGGAAAAGCGGAAAAAUUCUUAAGUUAUAAAAGAGAAAGAAGGAUUGAAUUUAACUUUUAGUUGAUUUGGUAUAUAGAUGGUGAACUCAUGGUACAUUGAUUUUCUUUUCUUUUUUUUUUAUCCAUAGAAUUCUUUCCUUUUGUGGAUAUGCUAAUAGGUAGGGUUUGUCUUUGCAGAUUACUGAGAUCCCGAGCCUGACAUCUGGUUGCACAGAAUUUAUUGAAUCUGCAGAACAAAUUUUGGAGAAGAGGAAGAUGAACCAGACUCUGCUAUCAAAUCACAGUACUUUGCUUGAUUUGCUUGAGAUUCCUCAGCUCAUGGACACGUAAGUGCUUGAACAAAUUGUAAAUGCUGAGGCAUUUAGUACUAUAGAACAUAUAUGCUAGAAUGGCUUCAUUAAACUCAAUUUUCUACAGAUGCGUGAGGAAUGGAAAUUAUGAUGAAGCUCUUGAUUUAGAAGCCUUUGUUUGCAAACUCUCAACCAUGCACCCCAAGUGAGUUAACCCCUAUUAUAUCCUUCUGUUAUAAACUAUUAGAAGACAGCUGACUGAGAUUUGUUUUCCCCUUCUCGAAAGUAUACCUGUUAUUCAAGCAUUGGCUCAAGAAGUUAGGCAAACAACACAAUCUCUUCUCUCUCAGCUUCUCCAAAAGCUUCGUUCAAAUAUUCAGGUAUUUGUUUGGAAGUGGUUCAACGAAUGCAAAACUUGAUUUUAGUUGGAGUUUUAGUCAGGCAUGUGAUCUAUGUAUUUUGCAGUUACCAGAAUGCCUUCGGAUUAUUGGAUAUUUACGCCGAAUAGGAGUAUUUAGUGAGUAUGAAAUGCGGUUGCAGGUAAAAUUUUUUAUCUCUGCCUGUUUAUCAUUGUGGUCAACUCUCUCAUCCCGCUGUUCAGUUUUACUUUCUUGUUCCCCCUUCUGACGACAUUUUUUCUUGGUUCAGUUUUUGAGAUGCCGAGAGACGUGGCUCACUGGAAUUCUUGAGGACUUGGAUCAGAGAAACGCGUAUGAGUAUCUAAAAGGGAUGAUAAGCUGUCACAGAAUGCAUCUUUUCGAUGUUGUUAACCAAUAUCGAGCAAUAUUUGCUGAUGAUACAUCUGGAAGUGAAGAAAAUUAUGAUGGCGGGCUUAUUUUUAGUUGGGCCAUGCAUCAAAUUACUUCACACCUUAAAACUCUUAAAGUCAUGCUUCCAAAAAUAACAGAAGGUGGAUCGCUAUCAAAUAUUCUGGAUCAGUGUAUGGUGAGAAAAUUUAAAAUUACAAUAGUUUCUUAUAUAACCAGUCAUUUAACUUUUGAUUAUUAUAAUAUCAUAGUCAACAAAAGGCUGUGUUGAAAAUAUUUUUGCAAUUAAGCAUCUGGAAAAUAACUUAGUGACAGAUUUAUUUGUUGUAUCUGAUUGUGAUGAUGCUUUUGAUCUUUGUUGCUAACAGUAUUGUGCAAUGGGGCUUGGUUGGGUCGGGUUGGAUUUUCGAGGCUUGCUUCCUCCUCUAUUUGAAGAGUAAAUAUAUACAAUCAUUUUUAUUUUCCUUUUGACUACUUUUUACCCCUAUCAUUGAUUAUAUAUACUUCACAACUUUACAGGGCAGUGCUCAAUUUAUUCUCUAAGAAUAUGAAUACAGCAGUUGAGAACUUUCAGGUAUGCAGACUAUAUGCACAAAGUUAGGGUUUUUCUUUUUAAUAAUCCUCUAAAUGGGUUGUUGCCCAUGUAACUUCUUUAACUUGUCCUUUUACUCUGGGUCCAGUUAGUUCUGGAUUCGCAUCGAUGGGUUCCAUUACCAGCAGUUGGCUUUUCAGCCGCUAGCAUCAGUGAAGAAAGUCAGGAGGAUGUAACGCCACCAUCUUAUUUGAUGGAACAUCCGCCUCUUGCUGUGUUUGUUAAUGGUAAGUUCAACUCGUGUUUGCUUUUUCUUUAGUGAUGACUUCUCAAAUGGUUUGUAUAAUCUAUCAAAGGAUAAAUGACACUAGAGCUGUCGAGGGAGUAUAGUUAGGUUGCAUGACCCUUACUAGCUUUUAUGUUUAAGCUGUUUUCGUCCCGAAAAUUCUUGUGUUUCAAGUACAAAUGCAAAAGAGAAUGAGCCUUGGUUUUCAAAGUCUUGAUGGUUUAGAGGAUAGGUAGGUUGCCAUUAGGCAUUGUAGCUUUUAGAUUGAAGCUAUUUUUUUCGAUUAUGCUUGGUUUUGACGGCUCAAUGUUGUCAUUUUUUACUUCAUCUCUCUCUGGUGAUUUUACUUUUAGGUGUUUCCGCCGCAAUGAACGAACUACGUCCUUGUGCCCCAGUUAGUUUAAAGAAUGUUCUUUCUCAAGAAUUAAUUAAAGGAUUGCAGGCUGUUUCUGACUCCCUAUUGAGAUACAACGCAACUCGGAUGCUCAGAGAAAACGAAUCUGGGCUUUUCCUCUCCCUUUGCCGAGCAUUCAUUGAGGUGCAUUAUAAUGAAAUCAGGCAAACUAUCUCAUGCAAGUUUUUGACAAAACUUUUUACAUACUGACAAACUUCCCCCUAUUCUCAGGUCGUUUUCCCACACUGUGCGACAUGCUUCGGUCGUUGUUAUCCUGGUGGGGCCGCUCUUAUCAUGGACGCAAAGAAUUUAUAUGAAGGACUUGGUCGCCUGUUGACAAUCUCUUCAACGAAAGAACCCCCAAAACCAGUUGGUAACGGAGAGGAAAAGACAGCAUCCGGAAAUGGUGACCUGCCGUCUCAACCUGUUGUGGAAAAUGGCAUUGAACCGACGGUCGAUAAUGCAGCAGAUGAGAAGGAACAGAACAGUCCCGCAUUGCAUACUGAUGAAAAAAAGGCUGGUGAAACAUCCUAGGAAAGAUCCAUUCUUUAAACUUUGAUUUGAUAAUGUUUGUAGAAAGAAAAAGGUAGUGUUAUUUUUUUGAUGUAUUAAGCAAUUUUCCGGCCAAAAGGAUAAAAUGAGAAAAACAAGUUUUAUAUUUGUUGGUUAUGUAUUUAAAUAACUGGAGGGCGUGGUGUUAUGCUUAAAUGUUUGAGAUUUUUUUUAUGAAAAUCUCAUCUCAAAACUUUGAAGUAAAAAUUGUAAUUUGUGAUAUACGGGGUUGGGUCGGCGUCGAGAGUCGACCAUAGCAUUUAUUUUCAGAGUCGGGUGAAAUGGAAAUGCGUUCGGGGUUAAUAUUGGGUUAAGCUUUCACCAUAUUGGGUUUGGGUGCCCAAAAAUCUAUCCUGCCUUGCUUUGUACUAGUUGCGGGGUUUUUUUUAUUUAUUUUUUUUUCAAUUAAUUUAUUCAAUUUUUUAAUAAAUAAAUAAAAUAUAAUUUAAUUCUUAAACUUAGUUUAAUAUUUUUUUUCAAAAAUAUUUUUCCGAAAGAACUCUAAAAAUAUUUUUGAAAAUAUCAAAAGCAUCUUAUAAUGAUUUUAUCUCAAAAAUACUUGUAGGAAGUAAUGUUAAAUUAGCUUUAAAAAGGAAUAUGAAAAGACACUUGACUGUAUUGUAAUUAUGGUCUUAAUUUGACAUAAGUCGAUUCCUAUACUUUUAUGUGUUAUUCGUAGGUCACAUUGGAAAAAUUAUUACGUAAACUUUUUUUUCCACGUCAACUAUGAUCCCCAAUUAAUAAUAGAAUGCCACAUAAGUAUAUGUUUUAGAUGACAUUAAAAAUUUUGCCAACUCACUUUCUCUUCAUUUUAAAUCACUUUUUUUCUUUUUUUAUUGACUUACUUCUCUCCAAGCACCUACGACUAUAAUUCAGUCUUAUCCCAAUUCUUUAAUCCAAAAAAACAAAAAGUUGCUUGACAACAAAUGAAAAAAAAUACAAAUCAAUGACUACUGUGGUGGGAUGUGUUGAAGAUAUUUUAGCGAAGGUAAAGGUUAAUAUAUUAAAGAGGGUAUUUAUGCUCGUCGUGUCCUUUAUAUGGAAAUCAGAAGUUAGGAGGCUGUUCUCUUGACUCGUACUGAUGAGAAUUUAACUCCACGUGAAAUUGAACAAAAAGCUGCUGAAUUAGCCUAUUUUUUGCAUGUACCGGUUGAAGUAUUUUGAAAUGAACUGCAGAAUAAAAGCUUUCUCGCCAGGAGGAAAAAGCUCAAUCCAAGAAUCUUUUUUUUUUCUAUAGCAGAACUAAAUUGAAGUUUCUUCAGAAUGCAUGUUCAAACCAAAGCGGACGUAUACGGAAGAGUCAGAACAUAAAAAAAAAAAAAAACUAUUUUUUCUUUUGUCCACAAAAAUAGUUUUUUAUGCAUCUGUAAAUGUAAAACCGCUCAACUUAAUUCACUAACAAAAUAGGUAAAAAAUCGAAAUACUAAAUUCAUCUCAUAUAUCAAAGUAUUUCAAAAUAAAGACUUUCACUUUUUAUUCGCAAUAUUUGGAGUUGAUACAGGUAGAUCAUAUCUUGUACAUUUUCUCUACUCUUCUUUUGUGCUCCAAAUUUUGACAGAAAUUUUCUGAAAUUUGUUCUCUAGCUUUCUUAAUGGUACCUUAUGAAUUACUCUUGAUCUGUUGAAGAAUAUAAUUUAGUGAUGGCAGAAGUUAACAUAUUUGUAAAAUUUUUAUUGCAAUUUUUUUAUAUGUGUUUUCUAGCUUUCUUAAUGGGAUCUAAUUAUUUCAUUAGUUCAUCUAUGUUACCUCUCUUGUGAUUCUAUGAAUGAAUGGGUACAACUUUUGAAAAAACAAAUUGUUUUUUUAUGAUAAUUCUUUUUCCAAAUUUAAUUUUGCAAUAUUGAAAAAUAAUAAAUGAAAAACUCAGAUUUUCUUUUUUUUUCUUUUUUUUUCUUUUUUUAGCAUUGAACUUGCGUAGAAUGAAUGAUGAUUUAGAGGAUUGUUACAUUCAUUUAUAGUAAAAAUUUUACUAAAUUAUAUUUAUAAAUUAACUAACCUCAAACCAUGUUUAGAUGGGAAAAUUUUCUAACUCAAGUUGAAUUAAAAAUAUUAUAAAAUUUAGUGUUUAAUCCCAAAUUAAUGUGAUUAGCUGGUUGUACCAAAAAUGGUACCCAUUGAAGACCUUUUUUAGUUUUUUGUUUUCCCUUCAUUAAACUCCUUGAUUCAAGCAAUUUCAUCAUUCUCAAAAGAUGAAACAAACGAAAACAUCAAAAUAACAAUUUUCACAAAAAUAAAAGAACUACCCAUUGUUUUCAUUUCCUUUUUGAAGCUAUGGGAAGGAUUGUUCCUUUAGAUGGCGACGUCGUCAUACACCCAGCAUUACCAUUUUCCCUCGUGGUGGCUGCCACCGCGGCAACCAUCGCUAUAAUCACCGGUUUAUGUGGUUUUUUCAGGAAACCACCACCAGAAUUACAAGAACCAACAUCAGCCGACACUACGUCACCAACAAAUGAAGAACAAGAACCCAACACCACCGCAGACGGCGGAGAAACGGAAGAAGGGGGCAAUGAACUAUUACCACCACCACCAUGCAUGGCGGCAUUAACGUUCAAGAAUCCCGAAAACGCCGGCAAUUUAAUGAAGAAAUCAGCAUCUACACGUAGUAAACUGAGUUCUACAUUUAGCGUUAAGAAACAUCUCAGAAGCAUAUCGGUGAGGGAAAUUAUUGAAAAAGGGAAACACGUACAACAAAAGCAUCAUCAAGAAGAUUCCCUUUGGACUAAAAAGAUUAUAUUGGGGGAGAAAUGUAAAGUUUCUUAUGGUGUUGAGGAUGAUGAUGAAGAUCAAAAUGGUGGCAAUAAAGGGGAGGUUGAUACAAUACCAGCAGCUGGAAAUGAAGACGCCAUUGUUGAUAAAGAGAAAGAGAUAACAAGCAAAGAAGAAUAAGUUUUAUUUAUUUAUUUUUCUUUUCUCAAAGGAAAUGAAAUUCAAUUAUUAUUUUUUUAAAUGAAAUGAAAUUCGAUUAUUAUUUUUUAAAAGUGUUUGUUCUUUUAGAAUGAAUUUCAGAAAUUUAAUCAUUCAAAUAUAGAAUAUUUAGAAGAUAACCUCAUUUGUGUGUUCCAACUUGCACUAUUCUUAAUAAAUUUGGUAUCGAAUUAAGUAAAAUUCCUCCUCACACUUUUUAUUUUUAUUGGUAAUACUUAAAAUUAAAUAGAAAUGUUUUGGUAAAAAUAUUACGGAGGUCUUUGUGCUAAAAGUCAGAUUAUGUUUUGCUCGUUCUACUAAAAAAGCGUGCAAAUUAUUAGUCCUUAUGCAUUAGAUAAAAGAGUAAAUUGGCCCAUGUACGUUAACACGAGGUACACAUGCCAUGCCACGUGUCACUAUUUAGUUAUUCUAACAGCCAUGCCAAUUUUUAAUAGUAGAAUUGGAUGAAACUUUUAACAUAAAAGACCAUUUUACUAUUUAAUCUAAUGUACAGGGACAAAUUUACUCAUUUUUUAGUAGAAGGGGCAAAAUGCAAUUUGACAUCUAUUGCAAAGACCUUCAUGAUAUUUUUACCAAACUUUUCUUAAGGAAUAUUAAAUUGUCAUUAUUGAAGGUAAAAAAAAAAAAAAAGCAUGCAUGGAAGUCCUUGUAUUAGGAGCCAAAUUUCAUUUUACCUCGUUUACUCAAAAAAUAAAUAAAUUAGUCUCUAUACAUUGGAUUAAAGAGUAAACUGGUUAUUUCUAUUAAAAGUCCCAUCCAUUUCUAAUAUUAAAAUUUGGUGUGACUGAUAAAAUAACAAAACAGUUACACAUAGCAUGCCAUGUAUACCUUUUUUUGACAUAUAGGGACCAAUUUUUAACAAUAGAAAUAGAUGAAAUUUUUAACAGGAGGACCAGAUUGCUUUUUGAUCUAAUGUAUAAAAACUAAUUUGCCAUUUUUUUUGUAGAGAUGGAAAAAUAUAAUUCAACUCCUAGUACAAGGGUCUCUACGAUACUUUUACCAUUAUUUUAUCUAACAUGAAAUGGAUAUAAUAAUUCAUAAAUAUAGUGACUUUAGACUUUUGGGUUAAUUUCAUUGCAUGUCCUCAAAAUUAUGGUUAAAAUUUUAGAUUGGUCAGCUUCAUAAAGUUGUGUUUGAAUCCUACUCAUACCUUCCAAAUAUAUAUAUAAUUGUCGUAUCAAUUACAUCAUUUUGUCAAAGAUGCUCAUUGUUACCAUAAAACCUUCGAAACCCUUAAAUCGAAACAAAAAUGAGUUUAACAUCAAUACUAACUGAGCUAAUUAAACUCAACCGACAACUAUCAGAUUCAAUGUUAAAUGCCAAAUGAAACUUGAAAUGGGACAUGAUGAUCACAUUUUAAACAUUAGUGACUACAUGAAAAACUUGAAUUUGACAUGCUAAAAAAUAACCUUCUUGAUUUUUAACAACACUAUAUGUUUUAGUGCAUUAGACCAAUAUUGUCCAUGCAAUAUAGGUAUACACGCUUUUACAAUUGAAUCCACGUGUUCGAACCGACAUUUAAUACCUAAACGGGUAAUUGAAUCGAUAAAAAAAUAUAAUCGAUACAAUACCAAUACCUAUAAAAAUAUAUUGAAAUUUAUGAAUUAAUUUAAAUUUUAAACCGUAACUCAAAAACUUUUGGUGAAAUUAACCCUAAAUCAAAAGGUUGGUUCUUCAAUUUAAUCCAUUGAUUCAAAACCAAUGAAAUCAUGAUAGGGCUUGUUGUAAUUUAGUGUAAGAAUUAGACUUCUUUGUCUCUUCCAUUUUCAAUCAGUUUCAGCUUUUUAUCUAACAGCUUAAACAUGCAUUGCCUUUUUUUAGUCCAAUCAUAUUACUGCAGUUACAGAAUCCAAAGCAAGUAAAAGUUGACUUAUUCACAACUAAAUAAAUAUCUCAGCUCAUAAUUUUGGUUUUGGGUUUUUUUUUUUUAAAUUACAAUUUCAGGCAAAAAAUAAAAUAAAUUCUUUAAACAAUUUGAAAUUCAAAAUGCAUUUGUAGUUAUGUGAAUACUUACCACCAAUAAAUUUGUGUCAUUUUUAGUUACAUGUUCAACUGAUGGAUAAAAAUACCACGAAGACCUUUGAAUUAAGAGUCAGAUUGCAUUUUACUCCGUUUACGUAAAAAUAGUCAAAUCCGUCCCUCUACGUUAGAUCAAAAAGAAAAUUAAUUAUUCUGUUAAAAAUCGGUCUUUAUACAUCAGUAUAAAAUACAUGUGAUUGUUUAGUUAUUCCAUCAGCUACAAUAAUUUUUAAUAGUAACAAUGCAUUUAAUUUUAAACAGAAAUAAUUAAUAUGUUUUUUAAUCUAACGCAUAGAUACUAUUUUAUCUAUUUUUUAAAUAAAAAAUAUAAAAUACAAUAUGUACUUCUAUAACCCAAAUUUAUGUGAAGUUUGAAUUUCGGAUUUUUAAAUUCGAAAAAUAAUUUAUUGGUGAGAAUGAAAGAGGGAACACUGUCCAUACAAGUGUCAUAAGCCAAUUACUCCAAUUGUUUAUACACAUUAAAACUGUUUUUACUGUGACGUUAAUGGACAAAAACGAACAUGCCUUUUUAUGACAGAACAGUGAAGCAGAUCCAGGGACCAAUCCUCAAAAUUCAGUUCUAAUAGACACAAAAUGUAAAAAAUUAGCAACACUGUGGGCGGGAUCAAAGCUCAAAAAUAAAAUUAAUAUAACUUUUAUUCUUUAAAUUUUGAAAUUAGGUCUUAAUUUAUGUUGGUGGCAUCUAAUUAAAGAUUGUCAUAAUAAUAGGAAACAUCCCAUAGUUUAUCAUGUCAUCUAGUUUCAACACUAAAGAGAGAAAUUGAGUUCCAGAUAAAAGCAACGUCUUCGAUAACUGAUUUAACAAGUUUCACGUCACCAACGCAAUUUUUAAAUUUUUUACGUGGCUUGAUCAAACUGCUACAGUCUCUUUAUUUCUGUCUUUUAACCCCAGCUGCUGAUUUAAAAAAGAUCUCAUGGGUCUAAUUAUAAUAAGACCUCACCUUACAUGUUACCUCUACUUUGGUACUUAACCUUGACAAUUAAGUUUAUUUUGAUGCUUGAGCUUAACAAAUGUAAAUUUGGUGAUGUACUCAAUAUGAUUAUGCCAUGUCAUCAUCUAAAAAUUUAAAAAAAAAUUAUAAAAUUUGAAUGAUGAUGUGACACGAUAUUAAAAUGUCACAUCAUCAAAAUAUAAUGAAAUUUAAGUUAAAGGACUAAAAUAGAUUUAGUUACGAAAUUCAGGUAUCAAAACGGGCAGAAAAAAGUACAAGUACCAAAGUCAAUAUAAUUAUCAAAUUUAGGGACUAAGAGUUAUAUUAACCCAAAAACCAACCUUGAACCAAUGGUUCGUUUUGAAUUUCAAAACACUCAAACAGGACCUUGUAAAACCACCUUUCUCUCUUGAACUUCUUCAUUAUUUUUUUACACAAAAGCUUUGCCCUUCUUUUGCUUCUUUGAGAUGCUUUUUUGAACUGUGUCGAUGGGUGCUUCAGGGAAAUGGGUAAUAUCUCUUAUUGGUCUCAAAAUAACCCAAAAACAACACCAAGUAAGCUCUGGGUUUUCUAUGUUAUUCCACCGUAAAAAUCUUUAUAUACAUUUUAAAGAUUUAAAGCUCUUUCCUUUUUGUGUGUUUAUGUAGGAGAAAGUGAAUAGCAACAAGAAAUGGAAGCUAUGGAGAAAGUUUAGAUCAGAUUCUCAAAGCUCUGAUUCUUUCAUUGCUGCCAUGGCCGCCAUUGUUCGAGCUCCUUACAAAGAUUUCAGUUUUUUAAAGCAAGAAUGGGCUGCCAUUCGCAUUCAAACAGCUUUUCGUGGCUUCUUGGUAAAGUUGAAGUCUUUUUUUUUUUCCUUUACAUGUUUGGUAUCCGAGAAAGUGAUGGAAUGUGAAAAAAUAAACUUUAUUUCCAAUGGUAGAGUCCUUCGUUAUGUUACUCCCAUUUGAAUUAUAAAUUUUUGAGAGAAUUAAAAAUUUAAUUUCUUCGUUGUAUUAAUAUGUAAAAUUUUACAAUUUUCAAAAGUAAUAUAACCUUUUCGUUUUUGGAGAGAGUAUAAUUGAAUUUUAAAAUUUAGUAGGGGCUGAAAUACAAUUUUAUUAUUAAAUCAACUUAAAACUUUACAAAUAUUUAAGAGACUAAAGGAGGUGGCCAAGCCCCUCACUUCCUCCCUCUAGCUUCACCCUUGUUACUCGGAUUCGGGUUUGAAUGCGAAUUUUUAUAUGUAGGCAAGGAGAGCAUUGAGGGCUUUAAAAGGAAUUGUGAGGCUACAAGCUUUGGUUCGAGGUAGACAAGUUCGGAAACAAGCCUCGGUGACGCUUCGAUGCAUGCAAGCUCUCGUUCGUGUUCAAGCUCGAGUCAGGGCUCGUCGUGUUCGAAUGUCGAUCGAAGGACAAACGGUUCGGAAGAUGCUUGAUGGUCAUCGUAGCAAGGACGAUGUCUUGAAACAAGCCGAGGUAACGCUUAACCGAAACAUUCAUUAAAUUAUCACUUUCAAUCAAUGUUUUUAAAACCGGACCUGUGGUUUGCCUACUUGUUCGAUUAAAAAAUAUUUAAAAGAAUCGGUUUAACCACUGGUUCAACUUAUUUUUUAGUCACUCUAACAAGUUCAAUAUCAUUCUAUUGACCGAGAUCCGGGUCUAAUUGUCUCACCGGUCACUCCGGUCUGAUUCAAACAUCUCUACUUUUGACUAAUGAAUGUUAUUGAACAUUUAUUUUUUUAGGAUGGUUGGUGUGGUAGCAAAGGGACAUUAGAGGAUGUUAAAACAAAGCUACAAAUGAGGGAAAAAGGGGCUUUCAAGAGAGAAAGGACUCUUGCUUAUUCACUUGCUCAAAAGGUAUAAACUUUUUUGCGAUUUUUUCAUAUUAAUUUUCAGAAGAUGAUUGAUGUUCUUUGUGUUUUUACAGCAAUGGAAGUCAGUCCCGGGUUCAACUACUCGAACAGAUGGUUUGAUUCCGUGUCUUAUAAGCCAAGAGUUUGAUAAGAACAGUUGGGGAUGGAAUUGGCUCGAACGUUGGAUGGUAGCCAGGCCAUGGGAGACGCGGUUGAUGGAACUGUCAACACGUACCGACCCUUCGAAGACUUGCUUAGAGUCCCUCUCGGGAAAGAAUGAAAGAUGUUCGGAACCGUGCUCAAUGAAAGCGAGGAAGAACAAUGUCACCACUAGGGUAUCCGCAAAGCCGCCGCCUCAUACUAGGCAAGUUACUGGAUCAUCUUCAAGUCCAAGUUCUGAAUUUCGAUUCGACGAAAGCUCGGGUUCAUCGUCAAUAUGCACUUCUACAACACCAGUUUCCGGAACCACCGUCUUGCCAUCGGGUGCAACGGGGGACAGUGGCAAUAGUAGGCCGAACUACAUGACCAUGACGGUGUCUACCAAGGCGAAACAAAGAAGUGGCAAUCACGGAUUCCAAAGGCAGUCCAUGGAUGAGUUCGAGUUCAAGAGGUCAGCUGGUUUCGAUAACAGAGAUUCAAAAAGCUCAAAGAGAGGAAAUUGUUUGUAUAAUUAAAACGGGAUUUGAUUGUAUGUUACUUGAAAAGUCCAACAUCUUGUUGCUCAUUGUUAUUAGUAUGUCAUUGAGAAUUGAAAACCGAUUUGAGUUGUAAUGUUUGAUUGGAUUAUUUUAAACUCGGAUUAAUUUAUUCUUUGAUUUACAAGUUAAAAAAGCGUAAAUAAUAGAGUUGAAUUUAAUUUAAAAUUAGUUUUAUUUUUAUAUGAAAUAGCAAACGGGUCCUUUUUGUUAAAAAUUUCGUUCAUCUCUACUAUUAAAAAUUCUCAUAGCUGACAAAAUAACCAAAUAAUGACAUGUUUUUCUCAUGUUGACGUACAAUGACUAGUUUUUAAAAGUAGAAAUGGAUGAAACUUUUUAACAGAAAUAUCAAUUUACUUUUUGAUUUAAUGUAUAGGGACUAAUUUACCAAUUUCUUAAGUAAAAAGGAUAAAUGCAAUCCAAUUUUUAGUAUAAAAGCCUCAACAUUACUUUUAUUGACAAUUGUGUUAUAUUAGAAAGAAUUGUUAAAAUUUAAUUAAGUAAUUUUCUAAAUUGAAAGACUCAAAUAUAUAAAAAAAAAUUAAAAGAAAAACUUGAUUGCAUUUUUCGAAAUAAUUGGAGUACUGUUUAUAACAUGAAGCUUAGAGUUAUAUUACUAAUAACUUAAUUUAUUUUUGUAAUUUCUAGGCAGUAUCAUAGAGGUGAUUAUGGGUUAGACGGUCCAGUUCGACCCGAUGACCCGUCUGAAAUAUGGGAGGGUUUGACCCGACCUGACCCGGCCCAUGAUCACCUCUACAACAUCAUCAUCAUUCAGCAAUUUCAAAUCAUAAAAUUGAAGAUAAUUAUUAAAAAGAAAAGGAACCCUUUUUUGGUGCUUAAAAAAACAUAUAAACCAUUAGUUCAAAAAUAUUUAAUUAUCAUUUUUAAAAAGCUAAUAUUGAAAAAGUAAAAAGCUUUUAAUUAGUUGCCAAAAAAGUAUUGAAAAAGGAAAUGAAUGGAAAAACCAACUUUUGGUGGUCCACUAUUUGCACUAUACUUGAUUUUUGGGUCAUCCUAAAAUAAAUAAAUAAUUGAAUAAUUUUUUUGGUAAAAGUAUAAUAUUUAAUUAAAGUCUUAAUAAAAAAUUUAAAGUUAUCUUUUGAAAUUAUUUUUUUCAUUCAUGCUAUUAUUAUUCAUUAAGUGAUGAUACGACAGAUGACACGGUUUUUUACUAUUUAAAAAUAUUAUAUCCAACAACAAAACAUAAUGUAAAAUGGUCUCUGUUGUUUAUUGGGAAUAAAGUAGCAUCUAGUCUUCGAACUUGACAACUUUUUCAACCUUAUUUCUUGAAUUUCUUUUUGAUCAUGUUAAUCUCCCGACUUGGCAGUUUCUUUAUUUUUCAAUUUGGUCCAUGAACUUAGCUUCUAUUAAUAUAUGAUGACGUGAUACUCUGAGAUUGCGUUAUGUAAUAGUUGAGGGAUUGAAAUAAAACAAAAUCAAUAAUUUAGUGAUGAUUAUUGUACUUUACCCUAAUUUAAAGUCAUACUUUGGAUUCAUUUAAAAUAAAAUUACAAAAUGAUCAUUAAUCCAUUCGAAUGUUUUCAUUUAAGUCAUUAAACUAAUAGAAAGUUUUUGUUUAAGUCAACGGCUAUUAAGUUAUUUUUUUUAAAAAGUCUAGCAAGCAAGCGACGAUUUGAUGAUUGAUACGGUGAACCAAUACCCAUUGAUGAGUAAAAGAGCAUACUUUAGAUCUAAGUCAAUCUAACAAUCAAUGCUAGAGAUUGAAAAAGAAAGCAAUGUAGAUUUUGAUUCGUAAAUCGUGAUGUUCAAAAUUAUUUUAUGAAAAAAAAACUAAACUGUAAAAAAAAAUGAGAGCUUUCGAUUGGAAUAGUCGGUACGAACCAAAAAGGCCAUAUAAUGACAGUUUCAACAACCUAAUGACUUAAAUGAAAAUUUUCGAAUAAUUCAAUAAUCAUUUUGUAACUUUUUAAAGUCGAGUAACUAAAAUAUAAAUUUACUAACAAUUUAAUAACUUUUAUGUAGUUUACACUAAAAAUAACUUGCGAUCCAUAAAGACUAAUCUAUUUAAAACACGUGAUUGCUUCACCCAAUAAUGUUUUGUGUGUGCAUUCAAUACUUAACUGUGUAUAUAUACAAACAUUUCAAUAAUUUAGAUAAUGGAAUUAAAAAAUUAAAAAAAAGAAUAAAAUAUUCUGGCACAAAUGUGUACCAAAAUUUAAUACCCUUAAAAUUAUUACCCAAUGACCUAUCAAUUAUCACUGCCCCAACAUGAUUAUUAUUACCACGUGUACGGAUCUGAUCGGAUAGUUUUCGGAAGGGGACGUAACCUUCAAAGCGCGACAAAGAUUCAGAUCAUGACAUCAUCAGGUCCCACUAUCUGACCCCCUGAUGUGUCUCCGUCAACCGGUCAACGAACUCAAUUUCUUGAUUAUUAAUCUCAUUUUUUAAGAUAUUAAUUAAAAAUGUUUUUUAAGAAUUUUUUAUUUAACUUUUCGGUUCAUACUGAUUUUUAUAUCAAUCGGUCAAAUAUUUUUUUUCUUUAAAUUGGUAUAUUUCUUAGUUCGGCUCAAAUAAUUAUGGGUUUUUUAGAAUCUAGUCAUGGCAAGUUGAUCAAUUUUAGUUCCUAUAUAUAUUUUUUAAUUUUAAAAUUUUAGUGCUACCAAAAAAAAAUAGUAAUUAAAUUUGUUUGGUUAAAUUAUGUUAUUAAUUUUGUAUUAUGUGUAAAGUUAUAGUCUAUAUAUUUUCUGAAAUUCGAAAUUUCAAUCUUAGCACAAACAGUAGUUGUUAAAUCACUUAACUGACUCUUCUAUCAAUAAUAUGUGAAAAUAACAAGCUCACUUGGCAUUAAUCACGUGAUAAUAUGCUUGUCGGGUAAUAUUUUGAAAAGAAAAGAACUCGAUGAAUUUAACAACUAAUAUCUCGUCGGGAUUAAAAUUUUAAAAUUUUAAAAAUACAAAAAUUACGAAUGAUCAGAUCAAAAUAUCAAAAUUAAAUCCAUAACAUGCUUAUAGUACAAGAGCUAAUAAUAGAAUUUAAUCUAAAAUCACCGCAUAAAAUUUAUUUUAAAUAGUCAUAAAUAUUAAGUUAAUCAAGUUGUAAACUUUUUGAAUAAUUUUGUGUGAUUCAAUUUGAAUUUUAUAAAAAUAUACAAAGUGGUGAACAAUUAUUUUGAUUUUAUAUAAAUAUGAGUAAAGCUAUUUCAAUAAUAUUUAUUACUUAAAAGUUUUUUCAAUCGAAUAAUUAUGAAAUUAUUUUAUUAUAUGAUAGAGCAACCAAGCAUCAAAUAAAUGUUGCAUUUGUAUGGAUCUGAUUCCUAUUUAAGAAAUGGUUGUUGACGGUAUAGUAUUUAUGGGACCUUAGUUUAUGCAUCCAUCAAUUAUCAUCUCGGGGUAUGGUACAACAUAUCGAUGUACAUUAAAUUCCCAAUUCUAUUUCAUAUAUUAAUUGAUUUUUUUAUUUUUUAUAUUUAUUUUAUGAUUCACGUUGAGGGUUUGUUGCUGCUCUUCUUAACAAUAUCGUUUUUGAAGUUUAAACUCACAAUCUCUCGUUAAGAGAUUGCUGCACCCAAAAUUUCACCUUUUAUGUUUUAUUUUUACCAUUUGUAAUAGCUAUUUAUGAAUUUUCAUCAAAUCAAUUUUAAAACACGUAUUAAAUAUUAAAAAGUUAACGCUAAUAUCUUUAAGUAUCAAAAUAUAUAAUUUUUGUCAAAGUCAAUAAAAUAAUAACUUAUUAUAAGAUUCUAUUUAAUAAAAUUUGAAUAAUUCUACUAUGAUAUUUUUUACAUAUAAAAAAAAGAGAGUUAAAUUCUACUAUUAAUUUCUACAUUAUGUGCAGGUUGUAUAUUUAGUACAUGUACUUUAAUUGGUCAUUUUCAAUUCUUGUUCUUUUCGAAAUUUAAAAUUUUUAGUCCCAAUCAAAUGGUAGCUAUUAAAUCGAUUAAGUUGCAUUCUCCUAUUUUCAAAAUGUGAUGCGACAAACAUAUUAUUGUAUGUGUAAUACCAUGUCAGCUUGUUAUUUUCACAUAUUAUUUUCAAAAAGACCAGUUAAUAAAUUUAACGAUAAUCCAUUGCAUUAAGAUUGACGUUUUGAAAUUCAAAAAAUAUAUAAAUCAAGAAUAAUUUUAUUGGAAAACAUGGACUAAAUCUAAAAUUUUAUGUAAAAUAUAAGACUAUAGAAAAGUUUAGCCAAAAAAAUGUAUUUACCACCAUCUAGUUCGGACUAAAAUUGAUCAUUUUGAAAAUUACAUAGACUGAAAUUGAUCAAAUUUAAGUGCAUAUAUUAAAUUCACAAGUUAUUCAAAGUACAAUAGGUCUAAUAACAAAUUUUGACCUAAAAAAUGAAGAUGAAGAAUCAGUGUUUUCAUAAUCGGAUUAGUGGUCAAACCAUCCACUCUCGACUUGAUUAAAUAAAUUUAAAAUUAAAAGGUAUUUAAAAAAUAUUAACUAUUAAUUUAAUCAAAUUUUUAAUCCAUCCAACCGAAGUACUCCAAACAGUGUGGAAUAAUUGAAUUGGAGAGAGGGUUAAGUGGGACCCCAAGUAACAAGGACAACGCUUGUGAUGUAAUUCGCUUUGCUUAUUCAGAUAUCAUCACAUGGCGGACAUCAUAUUUAUUUACCACCAUCAACGGUGUUCCUUUAAUCGGAAACCCUUCUAAUUGAUGAUGGUGGGUCCACACAUAUAAACCCUUCUAGUUUAUGUUUGCUAUGUAUAUGUCUUUUGGACUUUAGUUUCUUCCAGCUAUUCAUCAAAAUUUGUUUUUUUUAAUAAAAUAAUUAUUAAUUAUUUAAAAUUUCAUUUAAGUUGUUAAGUUGUUAAAAUUAUUGUUAUAUGAUCUUCUCUACUUGCACCGCCUGUACCGAUCAAAAGCUUUCAUUUCUCAUUCACUCUUACAGUUCAAUUUUUUUCAUAAAGCAACUUUGAAUGCCAUGAAUUUGUGAAUCAAAAUCCAAACACAUUUUUUCUUCGAUCAUUGACAUUAAUUGUCAAAUUGACUUAGAUUUAAGGUAUGUUCUUCUACUCAUCUAUAGGUAUUGACCUAUUAUACCGAUUGUCAAAUCGUCGCUAGGAGCUUACUAAUCAGACCUUAAAAAAAAACUUAACAACCUAGUUUAGUGACUUAAAUGAAAACUUUUAAAUAGUUUGCCAACCAUUUUGUAACUUUUGAAGUUGAGUGACCAAAACAUAAACUUACUAAUAGUUUAGUAACAUUAGAGAUUGUUUACCAUUGAUUUUUAUACCGUUCCUAGUAUUAUCCAUAGUCCUGUAACCCAAAAUCCAACAAUAAUACGUGCUUAAAACACUUUUGAAUCCAUGUUCUCAUUACUGUUGCCGCAAUAACAAUAUCCAUUGAGUUAAAACUCAAUUGGCCUCCCUUUUAAAUUUUGCAAUUACUAUUAAUAUAAAUUUUAGUAUUUUAAGAAUAUAUGUAAUCAUUUACGAGUCUCCAUUCAUAUCAUGUGUAGUUGUCAUGGAUGAAUUUUUCAUUUGAUGAUAGUCUAGUUCUUUAUCCAAUUACGUGUUAUAUUGGUUUAAUUGUUCGAACACAAAUUUAUAACUAUAUUGCAAUUAGAUUAUAUUUAUACUUGUGAAAUUAAAAUUUCUAUAAUGUUUGAUCUUUCUUCAUAUUUAUUUUAAUUGUUAAUCCAAUAGUUUAUUUUUUUUUUGGCACAAUUAAUUCAAUAGUUUAUUUUAAUAAUUGAUGGUGAUUAUGGUUAUAAUUGUAACAACUUCAAAAGAAAGUUUGGAUUAUUCUAGAUGAAUCGAUUAAGCUAAAUUCCACGUGGCGCAGAUUUAUUGGACAAAAUUUGGAACCAGAGAGAUGUGGAGGGCCCACAGUCUCCAUGCCACGUGUCAAGCAGGAGAUUGUCCUGAUCACGUGUGAGGUGUAAUUUGGGUUAAUGACUUCUAAAGGGGCCAAAAAUGCAUUCUUUUUUCCUAUUUAACCAAGGAGCUACAAUGGAUUAAGUUGAAAAACUAAAAUUUUUAAGAGAGGCUGAAAAUGAAUUGUACCAAUUAAUGGGGGUCUCCCAAUUGAGUCCAAGUUUUGGAAUCUAAAAUAAUUUAAAUUUAAAGUGGAUAUAAAUAAAAAAUAAAAUAAAUUGAUCCAACUCCCAAGAAUCCCAAAAGAAGUUAAAGAAGGUAUGUGCCGCAGUCCUUUGUGAUGUAAGCAAAUUAUAAUAGCCUAAAGCCCCACUUGGUUUAUAUUUAAGUCUCACACCCCACUUUGUUUUUCUAUUUCAUAUUACCACAGUCACUCUCAUAUAUAUGAUUUUUGAAAAUAUUUCUUAGGUUUCUUUUUUAAAUUUAAAAAACCCUCUUUAAUUUCACAAAAUUUUUAAAAAUUUUAAUUAGUCCCUCAAAUUUUUUUUUUGAAAAAAGUUGGUAAACUCAUAAAAUUUUUGAAAAUUUCUCAUUAAUAUAAACUGAAAUUGCAAUUUUUUUUAUUAUACCCAAACUUGUGAAAAUUUUUAAUUCAGCUCCCAAUAUAUAUAUAUAUAUAUAUAUAUAAGUAUACAUAAAAGAAUAAAGCUAACUUUGUUUCUCUAUUGGCAAUGCAAAGCCUAAGAAGUUGGUCAAGUGACGUUGUGCACCUUGAUCUCACAUCACCACCUUCUUCCUCUUCCUCCAACACCACCCCCAUGAGCACCACCGCCACAAGUGGCGGCAGCAGUUGUCUCUCCAUCGACGAGGAGGCAUCGACGGAGACUCGAAUCCAAAGACUGAUAUCGGAGCACCCCGUCAUCAUCUUCAGCCGAUCAUCAUGUUGCAUGUGUCACGUCAUGAAAAAGCUCUUGGUCACCAUCGGGGUUCAUCCUACCGUCAUCGAACUCGAUGACCGUGAGAUGGCUUCCCUCCCUCCUCCUCCUCCUCCGUCGUCAUCUCCAACUCACGGUGGCAUCCCCUCCAUGAACCACCCUUCCCCCGCCGUGUUUAUCGGUGGAACCUGCAUCGGUGGCCUUGAAUCCCUCGUGGCUCUUCACCUCAGUGGUCACCUCGUUUCAAAGCUCGUUGAAGUUGGUGCUCUCUGGGUAUGAUAUAUAUAUAUAUAUAUAUAAACAUUAUAUUAUAUAUAGCUUUAAAAAUCAUGUAAUGAUCAAGCUUUCCAUUUUUAAUGCUUCUUCAAAUCUGGAGUUUUUUUCCUUUCAUUAUUAUUAUAUAAAUCGAUAAACAUAAAAAUGAAGCAAUCAAUGAGUGGUAUGGGUCAUUUAAAAGUGGGGUCUUUUUGCCAAUUAUUGAGUAUUUUUGAGCCACGAAAAUUUUCUCAUUGUAGAUGAAAAUUUCUCAUAUACACAUAUAUGGUUUAAUACAUGACUGUGAAUGAAUUAACUCAGUUUAUCUAUGUUAAAUCAAAAAGUCAAUUAAUUCUUUAUAUUAUUAAAAAUUAAUGUGGUUGACGAAAUAAUCGAACAGUGAUAUGUGAUUGUCACAUGUACUUCAUGCAUGCUGAUGUACAUAUACCAGGUGUUAAUAGUAGAAAUAGAGAUGAAAUGGUUUACAAAACGAUCCGUUUACUCUUUGAUCUAAUAUUCAAAGACUAAUUUACUCAUUUUUUCAAGUAAAUAAAUCAAAAUGUAAUCUGAUUUGUAAUUCAAGUACAAUAAUUGGAUUUAAUUUGUACAUAAAAUUACUGGCUCUGAGUGUAUCAAAUUUGGGGGGAAGGGGGGAAUCUGACAAAGAAGAUGAGCUUAAAUAGAAGGCAAAGACAUGGUACUAAACUGUUACCUACACAGCAGACAGUAGUUAAUGCUGUGUCAUAGCUUCAGUUUAACAACCUGAUCAGGUUGUUGAAGACGGGAGUAGGAUGAGAUCAAAUUUAGGUAUCGAGAAUGAACUAUGAUCAAGUUCAUUUUUUUUUUUAUUAAAUGAAUCUCUUUUUCUUUUAGUUCAUUUUUUAAUCUAAUAUUUCUACUCCAUUUUUUUAAAUAAUGGAUAAAUCAAUAUGUUAAAUUUUUUUUCUUUUGGAGUUUUGGUAUUUUGAGGCUAUUUUGUUCCGAUAAACCUCAAGUUCCAAGUGUUAUUAGGUUUAAGUUGUUUGAGUUUGUUGGGAAAAAAAGAAAAUAAAAAGAAAGGAGUGAAAAACCUCGAUGGGGAUGUUAAAGCAUGAAUAAAGACUAUUGAGCCUUGGAAUAAAUGUAAUCAGAGCGGAAUUCACAGACAGUGAAUUGAGCAGUAAGGUUAUAAAUAAUUGAAGUGAGUUCAUUUCCAUGUACUUUUCAAGUGAUUUUAGGCUGUUUUUUUAUAUCAUCCACACACACACACUGUCCUAUCACAUAAGCGAACUUAUGGAUCGAAUCCUGAUUUCGGAUACGAAUGAUGGAUGAAUACUGAUGUGUGCUUGUUUCGGUAUAACUUAAGUGUGCAUAUUAUAAUAUACGUUUUUUAUAAUCUUCUUUUAGUUUUGGGGUUUUGAUAAAAUUUUGAUUAUUACAAAUUCAAGUUAUGUCGAUUUUUUUAUGAUCAAAUUGAUUUUAAAUAUUGAUUAAGCUUAUGUGUUAACGAUUAACACCCUAUUCCAUUUGCAUGCAGUUUGAGUAUGGAUUUAUAUACCGUAAUCUAUAAUUCUCAACUUCAUUCUAUUGUAGUCUCUUGAUAAAAAAAGGGUGUCGAAAUUUAUUUAUUCUUGAACAUAAUCAUCGUAGGAAUUAAAAACAAGUUUAGCUAUCCAACAAAUAUGAAAAGGUGGAACAAGACACAUAAGCUUUUAUACCAACAAAUGAUGUUUUGGUUUAGGCAACUGAAACAUCGAGUAUUAGCAUGUUCAGCAUGAUUUUCUGAGACAUCAUCACUUUUUAAAUGUCUGUAUUUCAAAAAAAUUUAUCUAAUAAUUUCAUUAAAUAACCUUGUUCAACUUUGUUUAUAAGUGCUUGUGUUACUAAGAAUUUCGGGUUUGGGUCAUUUUCACGACUAUUUUGUAAUUAUUAUUGUUAUCACCGAGUUUAUGUAUAUUUUUGAGUUUGCUUAAAUAUUUCUAACUUUUAAUAUCUAUAAAGGAAAAUUAAAUUUUUUUUUUAAAUAUCAAUGUAAUUUCAACUCAAGUUUGAGGCUUGGCAUGAUCAAGCCACCCAAAUAGUUUAUUUCACUGUUUAAAAAAUAAUAAUAUUUAAAUAUUAAUAUAAAAUUGUUUUUACUUAUUUAAAAAAUAAUAAUAAACCAAGCUGGAUCGAGUUGUCUUGAGAUUGAAAAUACUAAACCCAAGGUCAGUCUAACAUGGGAUGGACCAUCUGGCUCAUGAGCAUUUCUACUGCCAACAAAUAUCUUUAACCAUUGCUCCCUUAUUUUGUCGGCUAUUUUGAUUUGGUGAUUAAAUUGUAUGCAUGUAAUUUUGUUUCAGUUGGGCAUAUUUAGAAAAACAAAUAAAUCAUGCCGGUAAAUAUAUUGUUCGUGCAUGUAUAAAAAAGAGAGAGAGUAAAUUUCAAAUACUAUUAUAGGCUUAUUAUUGUAUUAAUAAUUUGUGAAAAGUGAUCGAAUUUUAAAAUUUAUAAAUAUAAUCACGCAAAAUCAAAAUUUGUAUAUCAUAUAAAAUUAAUAUAUAAUUUUGAUAUAUAUUGUUUUCAUAUAUGGUAAUUAAUUAUCGAAAUUAGAUCAAUAAUUAAUAACAUAAAGUAGAUUUAGAACUUAAGUGGGGGGGGGGUUGAAUGUGACUAUAUUAUAGCUUUUGUGCACCUAAAGCAACCACAUGCUUCAUUGCUUUUUCUUUUUUCAAUUAAUCUAACAUUCCAAACUAUAUCCUUCAACUACCCUUCAAAAUUAUAUGGAUAUUCGUUUUUGAAAGGUUGAAUAUGCUACCAUGAUUAUUAUUUUUCAAAUAAAUUAAAUUUCAUUAUACAUAAUAAAAUAAGGGUAGUAAUAACUGUAAUUAAUUUUAUCACUACAUGAACGGAGAUGAUGGUGCGCAUCGACCAACAAUUGUAAUCAAGGGCGAAGUUAUUUUAUAUUGCUAUAAUUUGUUAUUAGAUCAAAAAAGUUCAUUCUAAAAAGGUCACAGUAUAAUUUUAAUAUUUAUUAAAUUAAAAUCUUAUAAAAUGUAAAAGGUUAAAAGUUUAGGGGACUGAAGCUAACCCUAAGGCUAGUUGCACCGAGAGACAAUGAAGAUUUUAUUUCUAUGUAAUGGUAAAAAAAAUUAUGUUGUCGUCACGUAAUAUCCGUCUCUAUAAAUAUAAAUGAUUUGAUUUGAAUCCACAAAACACAGGGUAUAGGUCGGUCCAAUGUAAUUUGAUUUAUACUUGGAAAAUCAAUACCUAUUUAAAUAAUUUAGAGGAGAGUAUUGUAUAUGAAGAAAAGCUCUUUUCUUGAAGGACUAAGCUAACAUCACGUGGUUAUAUUUUACUACAAAAUUGUGAUUGUGUUAGGUUUGACUUCAUUUCUUGUCCUCCAACUAACAAUAUUUUCAUGAUGUAAACUUCAAUCUUGACUAAUUAAGUAUAAAUAAUAAUAAUAAUAAUAAUAAUAACAACCAAAGCUGUCAAAUUAAUUGGAAAAUUUCUAUUAGGGAUGAAUUAAUAUCUACUCCAUCACAACUUUUUCUAACUUUAUUCUUGACAUAUUUUGUCUAUUUCGAAAUUUGUCAGCUUUAUUAGGUGAUGAAUGACACGACACAAUUUUAAAGUGUCACAUCAUUAUGUUUUAAUAAAAUUUAAAUUCAGAGACUAAAUUAGAAAAAGAAGUUCCUAAAUUUCGAGACUAAUGCAAACAAAAAGAUCCCGUCACCAAAAUGAAAAAAUUAUGACUGAAUUUCAUAUUAUCAAAAAGGAAAAACAUGAGAAAAUUCCAAUCUUAAUCUUAAAAUUACUUGCAACUUGAAAGAAUUUUCAUUUAUAAUAUUUCUCUAUGUUUAGAUCUAUUCAAACAUUGAAUUAUUUGAUGAUUAAAGUGAUUGGACCGUUAUUUCUACCAUAUAAUAAAACAGAUGUAUUUAAAUUUUCCUCUUUUAAGGGUGAGUUUGGAUGGGCAGUGCGAUUAUCUGCGGUUAGUGUAAAAACAGUGGUGGCGGUGAGAUUAGAUACUGUAACGUGAGACAAAAAGUAAGCUAAACGCACCGCACCGCACCCAAACCCAAUCGCCCAUCCAAACCUACCCUAAGUCAACAAGAUUUUAUAUUAAUUACAAGGGGUAAGUUUUGAGCAAUAAAAUCUCAAAUAGUUAAAACCUAUUUAUUUACAUACCUUUUUUAGAAUUUAUUUAAAAGGAAAACCACCCAUAUUUAACUAAAAAAAGUAUUUUGUUAUACAAUUGCUUUCAUUUAAUUCAAUAGAAACACAUUUAAUUUUUUUUCUAUAAAAAGUAUUAUAAUAAAUAUAAAUAAGUUUCAUUUUAUCUUUUAGAUAAUUUAUUUUAAAAAUAUAAAAAAGCAACCACUACAUUUUGUUAAAUUUAAAAAGGUUAAAUAUGCUUCAAAUCUCUGUAUUCUUUGUACAUUUAGCAUUUAGUCCCUCUCCUUUAUUUUUCAUGAAUUUAGUCUCUGUACUUUUCAGAUUUCAAAAUUCAAGUUUAAUUAUUAACACUGUUAAAAUUAUUCCAUUAAAUUUGUCAAUCUGAGAGUUUCAAAUUAAACAAAAAACCAUUGAAAUGAACUUGAAUUUAACAAAAGAAUGUUAAUAGGGUUUAACGAUAAGACUUAUAUUUUUAAAUUAAAAAAAGUAGAGGGACUAAAUCUGUCCUCAUUCAAUUUCAUCCUUCUCUUUUUAUUUUGGCUUUUGCUUUGCAUGUGAGCUCUAUAAACCCCGCCUCCCAUUUUCCUCUACAUCAUGAUAAAUUCAUAUCACUUCCCUUCCAUUCUCCACCACAUUCAAACCCCAUAAAAGAAAACCCCCUUUUUUUUCUCCAUUUCUCACUAAAAAGAUUAUAUCUUUUUGUAUAUUCUUUGUUAGCUUUCAUUUCAUUGGAGCAUCAAUGGCGGAUUCAAAGAGGUACAUUUCCAAAACAGAGCUUGAAACCCACAAAAAACCAGAUGAUCUUUGGAUCUCAAUCCAAGGCAAGAUCUAUAAUGUAACUCAAUGGAGUCACCACCACCCUGGUGGGCCACUUCCAUUACUGAACCUCGCCGGUCAAGACGCCACCGAUGCUUUCAUAGCUUAUCAUCCCGGCAUAGCUUGGCAAUAUCUCGACAAGUUCUUCACUGGUUAUUACCUUGAAGGUUACUUAGUCUCUGAUAUAUCCGAAGAUUAUAGAAAGCUAGCUGUUGAGUUCUCAAAGAUGGGUCUUUUCGACAAGAAAGGACACGGGACAUGUAUUUUACUUACCAUCAUAGCAUUGCUGUUUUUCACUUGUGUUUAUGGUGUUUUGUGUUGUGACAAAACUUGGGUUCAUCUCUGUUGUGGUGGGUUAAUGGGGUUUUUAUGGAUACAGAGUGGUUGGAUAGGACAUGAUUCAGGACAUUACACUGUCAUGUCUAAUAAAAACCUCAACAGGUUGGCUCAACUUCUUACAGGGAAUUGUCUUGCUGGGAUCAGCAUGGGAUGGUGGAAAUGGACACAUAAUGCUCACCAUAUUGCCUGUAACAGCUUAGAUUUUGAUCCAGACCUUCAACACAUGCCUUUCUUCACGGUAUCUUCAAAGUUCUUUAAUUCAAUCACAUCUGCAUUUUAUGGUAGAAAACUGAACUUUGAUUCUCUUACAAGGCUUUUAGUUAGUUACCAACAUUGCACAUUUUACCCUGUCAUGUGCUUUGCUAGGAUCAACCUAUUUGCACAAUCUAUCAUCUUGUUGUUGUCUAAAAGAAAAGUCCCUAACAAAGGUCAAGAAAUUUUUGGGAUACUUGUUUUUUGGACAUGGUAUCCAUUACUCGUCUCUUUCUUACCUAAUUGGUACGAAAGAGUAAUGUUUGUGGUUGUAAGUUUUGCUGUGACCGGUAUCCAACAUGUUCAGUUCUGUUUGAACCAUUUCUCGUCGAGUGUUUACGUCGGCCCGCCGAACGGGAAUGAUUGGUUCGAGAAACAAACCGACGGGACGCUUAAUAUAUUGUGUUCGUCUUGGAUGGAUUGGUUCUAUGGUGGGUUGCAAUUCCAAGUUGAGCAUCAUUUGUUCCCGAGGUUGCCUAGGUGCCAUUUACGGACAAUUUCACCAUUUGUUAAGGAGUUGUGUAAGAAACACAAUUUGGCUUACAAUUGUGCUUCUUUUUGGAAAGCUAAUGCAAUGACAAUUGAGACGCUUAAAUCAGCUGCAUUACAAGCUAGGGUUCUUACCAAUGCUGUUCCAAAGAACUUGGUGUGGGAAGCUGUCAACACACAUGGGUGACAACUAUUUUAUGAAUAUGCUUAUUAUUAUUAUUAUUGCCAUAAAUUUUUAUGUCUGUAAUGUUGACAUCCAUAUAUUUGAGUAUUAAGUUUGUUGUCUUGAAUGGCUGUAAAUUUGUUGUUUCAUUCAAACAUGGUUUUGGUUUUCCACCAUUGGUAAUGUUAUGCUUUUUUUUUCCCAUUUUAUUUUACAUCAAAGAGACAAAUUGAUUGGGAAAGUGGACCCUUGAAAGGGGCAUUGCCAGCAUAGAAUGUGGACCAAUGCUUGAGUUGGCAAGCAUGUCCCCUCUUACAUUUUUUUGUUUGGAUGUGACUAAGGUGUUGUUUUUGUCAAUUUUAUGUUUCUUAAAUACUACUACUUUUAAUGUUUAUAGGAUAAAAGCAACACAAAUAUUUUAUAUUAAGAGUUGGGUUGCAUUUUGUUUUCUCUAUGUAAAAAAGGGUAAAUUAGUCUUUGUAUGCUAGAUCAAAGAGAAAACUAAUCUUUUUGUUAAAAAUUUCAUCCAUUUUUACUGUUGAAAAUUAGUCCAUGUAUGCCAAUGGCACGUUAUGUGCAAUUGUCUAGUUAUUCUAUUAGUCACGCCAACUUUUAACAAAAGAACUAGACGGAAUUUUUAACGGAAAUGACCAGUUUGAUAUUAUAUCUAACGUAUAAUGACUAAUUUACUUAUUUUUUUAGUAAAAAAAUAAAAUUUGAUCAAACAUACAAGGCCUCCAUAUUACUUUUAUCAAAUUCAUAACUAUCUCCUUCAAUAAUAUUAUUUCCAAAAUUCGAAUUAAAAUUCUUUCCCUAAAACUAUACCAUGCCAUGACAAAAAAAGGGAUGAGAUUGUUGAACAGCAAAUGAAAAGCAAUACCCUAUGAGUGAAAAGUGGUAGAGAGGACCCUAAAACCAAAACACUACCCUAUCACUUGCUGUCUACAUUGGAACCACUUGAAAGGUAAAAAACUUUAUGUAGAAUUUAUUUAAAAGGUAGAUUAUAUUUGGUUUAUUUUACUUAAAAAUAAAUAAAUUAGUUCUUAUACGUUAGAUUAAAAAGUAGAAUUUUUUUUUUAUUUUCAUUCAUUUCUACCGUUAAAACUAGCUUCACUGAAGAAAUAACCAUACAAUGACACGUUACAUCCCACGUGUAUCUCAUUUUGAUAUACAAGGACCAACUUUUAACAGUAAAAAUGAAUAAAAUUUUUAACAGAAUGAUUAGUUCACUCUUUGAUCUAAUGUAUAAUAACUAUCUUACUCAUUUUUUGAAUAGAUAAGACAAAAUGCAAUCUGACUCUCAAUAUAAGGACCUCGAUAGUAUUUUUACCUAACUCGAGAUUAUACGAGUCGAUUUAGUUUUAUAUAGUGUAAUUUAAAUUUUAAAAUUUUUGGACAUUCUAAAUAGAUUUCAAGUUGGAAUAUUUUUAAUUUCGGAUAUAAUAAAGAGCCAUGAAAACGAUUUAGAUGGAGGACACAAAGCCAAAGCCCAUUGAUUUAAGUGGACGUCUAAAAGCUAAAUUGUUUGUGUUUUGCCAGAUAUAAAAUAGGUGACACUCGACCCCAAAAUCCAGCUCAUAAAUACAUCACCAUGUGAAACGAAAAAGUGAAAGCGUAAAUAUUAAUAAAUAUAUACAAGCUGAAUACUCAAAAAUUAUUUUGUAAAAAAGUAAAUCAUUAUAAAUAUUAAUUAUAUCUAUUUUUUUAUACAAUACCUAAAACUACUCAUACCUCCUCCCCAAUUCAUAAAUAGGAGAAUAAUCUUCAGCGCACUUGAGCCUAGAGGUGCUCAUGGGUCGGGCGACCCGGCCCGGCAGCCCGCCCGAAAUAUGGGAGGGUUCAGGUAAAAAUAUAGGCUCGAAAUAUGGGUUUGGGCAAAAAACGAGGCCAUUUAGAAAACGAGCCAGGCCUCAGGCACCACUUUUUUUGGCCCUGGCCCGGCCCAGCCCGAAUAUAAAAUAUAUAUAUAUUUAAUUUGGUACCUAUGUUAUUUUUUUAUUCAGUUUAAUACUUAUAUUUGACAAAAAGUUGUAUACUUUGGUACUCAAAGGUAACGAAUGUUAACUUUUUAAUGUUUAAUUCAAAAUUUAGGGUUGAUUUGAUGAAAGUUAAUUGCUAAUUUAAUUGAGUUUGAAUUAUUCAUGCUUUUAUUAAUAGAAUAAAUUUAGUGUUAAUUGUGAAUUUAUUUAAUUUUACAUUUAAUUUGUCGAAUACAAUUUGAUGGAUGUGAUUUAAUUCAAGUUUUAGAGUUGAUUUGAGGAAAGCUAAUUGCUAAUAUUAUAAGUUAAUUAUAUAUUUCCAUCAACUCUAAAACUCGAAUUAAACAAAAAAAAAUUCACACCAUUACCUUUGUGUACCAAAAUACAUAACUUUUUUCAAAUACAAAUAUUAAAUUUGACUAAAAAAUAAUACAGAUACCACAUUAAAAAUGGUGUGAAAUACAAAUACCAAAUUAUAUAUUAAAUCUUAAAGUAUUAGAUUUAGAAAAACAAAGUCGAGAAAAACCCUUAUUUUACAAAUAGAAGGUGAUGUAUUUAUAGUUAAAUCGUAUUUUGUUUCUUUUACUUAAAAAAUAUAAGUAAACUGAUCUAUAGGCAUUAGAUUAAAAAGUAAAUUGAAUUUUUUAUUAAAUAUUUCAUCUAUUUCUAUAGUUAAAAACUAACGUGAUUAAUAAAAUAAUCAACCGGUUACACUUGAUGCGCCACAUGUACUUCAUUCUGAUGUAUAUGAAUAAGUUUUUAAUAGUAAAAAUUAAUGAAUUUUUUAACAAAUAUACAAAUUUACUUUUUAAUCUAACGUAAAAGAGACUAAUUUAUAAUUUUUUUAACUUGAGAGACUAAAUAUAAUUUAAUUCCUAAGAUCAAAUUUCCAUUUAUUAUUAAUUCCAUCCUUAAACAAUUCUGAUUCAGGCGCUUAAGUCCUAAGUUUUUGAGAUAAAACUCUAAAAGGUCCAUCUCCAUAUUUUGAUCCUUAGAUCAACCCCACACUUAGCUCCAAAAACGUUAGCCACCGCCGGCGACUUUCCUUUCGGUACAAUCCCUUUAAUUCCAUCGCAAGUAACCCUAAUCCCCACUUUCUUGCUCUUCAAGCUACCCAUUUUCACCAUCACUCGGGUAUCCAUUUCAACUUUCAACAAGAACCCCUUUUUCUUCUUCAGCUCCGGUCUCAACCCAUUCAUCGUCUCGGCGUCUACGUCGCUCGACGUCGCCACCGCGACUCCCCUGAAAGUAGUCUCGCUUUUGCUGCCACUGAAGAAAGCCGGCAACGUUCCAUUGCCUAAAAACACGUCGCCGUCACUCGAUACGCACGAGACGGUGAAAGGGUCGUAAGAGAAAGAGAGGUAAGCGUUCGGGUUUUUGGAAGAAAUGGUUAAGUUGAAAAGGGUCGAGAGGUGGGAAGAGGCAGAGUCCGCGCUGGUUGUUAGGUUCAGGCGGUGGAUGCGGAAUGAAGCGAGGGUGAAAGAAGGGCGGUGAGGGCGGUAAAGUACGUAAAGGACGGUGCCGGUUAUGGCGGCUAAAAGAAUGAGUAUGAGUAUUAUGAGGAUGGUCCAGCAACAGUAGUUCAGCCGCGGACGGUAAGUUGGGCGUGACGUGGGGUUGUAAAGGUGGGUUUUUUUGGCGCCGCCGUUUGCUGGAGCUGUUGUGGAGGGUGGUGAUUCAUCGGUGCCGCCUUUGGCGGCAGCUGCGACGGUACUUUAUCUGACAUUGUGAAGAGGAAAGAGUGAGUGAAAAAAGGGAAGGGUGAAGGGUGGAAAUUUGUAUAGGAGAGAGUGAAUUUCAAAGAAAGGAAUUGAAGAGAAAGGAAAGGUACAGUUCACCCAAAGAAGAUGGUGCCACCUCACCAAAUCUUAAAAUAUUUUAGGAUAAAUUCUACUAAAGUUACUAAAUUAUUAGUAAAUUUAUACUUUAAUUACUUAAUUUUAUACAAAAUAGUUAUUAAAGUAUUCGAAGUUUUCAUUUAAGUCAUUAGACUGUUAAAAUUACUAUUGUAUGGCCUUUUUUGUUUGCACUAUCUAUAUUAAUCGAAAACUCUAUUUUCUCAUUUUUCCUAUAAUUUAAGUUUUUUUAAUAAAACAAUUUUAAAUGCCACAAAUCUAUGAAUUAAAAUUCAAAAACUUUCUUCUCUUAUUUCUGACAUUGAGUGUCAAAUCAAUCCCAAUUUAAUGUAUGUUCUUUUACGCGUUAAUAAUAUUAAUCUACCAUACCAAUUGUCGAAUCAAGUAGAGUUUGUUAGUCGGACCUUAAAAAAAUUUAACAAUUCAAUUUAAUAAUUAUUUUAAAUUUUUUAAAAUUAGAGUGAUUAAAACGUAAAUAUAUUAAUAAUUAAGUAAUUUUAGGAGUGGUUUACCCUUAUUUUUAAACACAUAAAGAAAUGCCCCCCCGCCCAAUAUGAGAUUAUAACCAUUUAUGGGACGUUGGAACUGGUCUUUCACAUGCUUCAUCAUUUUCUGCCAUCCCUUACCAAUUUUCUACUAUUAAUUAGGCAAUUCAUUUUCUGCAAAUUCUAAGUUAAUUCCAGGCUUCCAUCACUUAAUUUAACUAAAAUAAUACCUUGAGGCUAAUUAAAGCCUUUAAGCAAAGUAAGUGUUUGCAUGUGAGAAUUUCUAAAAAUUUUGGAGAGAUUAAUGUUAACUUUUCAAAAUUUUAGUGGUUAGUGAAGCUUACUUUGAAAACUUAAAAUUUGAUUUGAAUCUGAAUUCGAGUUUUCAAAAUUUGAAACGACAUCAGUUCAAAUUAAUCAAAUUCAAAAUCAAUUCAACCCAUUCAAUUGAAAUACACAGGGGAUAAAGAUAUUUUCAGUUUCUCUCAAUUUCGAUAUUGAACAAAUUGAUCAUUCUCAAUUUCGAAAGUAAGCGACUAAGGACAAUUAAUCAUGGCAUUAAUGUUUUUUUUGUCAAAUUUAUAUAUACUUGAUUGGUAUAAUAACAAAUUUAGUUCUCAUAAAUUACAUAUUCUAUUAAUUUGGUCAUGAUUAAUAAAUUUAGCCCGCAAUUUUUUUAAAUAUGUAAAGUUAAGGCUAAAUUUGUUUGCUUUUUUAGAAUCAAGACCAAAUUAACAAAAUAUGUAAACAUCAACAAUUAAAUUUGUUAUUACCAAUCAAAAUUAUGUACAAAUGACGAAAAUUAUUAAUACCGUAAUUAAUUACUCUUAAUUACUCACUUUUAUAGUUGUGAGAGAUUAAAUUAUUUCGAUUUAUUUGAGAGAGACUGACUUGCUUGAUUUCGAAAUUGAAAAAAAGAAGAAGAAGAAGCUUUUAAUUCAUUCUUGGGGCCAAUGCUUAUGAUAAGCUCUAACAAUGAGGUUAGGUUCCUGAAACCUGUCAAUUAUCAUGGAAAUGGAAAAGAAUUAAACCACUAAACGAAGUAUAUAUAUUGGGACCACUUUCUCAUUUUCAUGUAAAAAUGUCUGUCUGAUUGGUAAGUUAAUUUGCAGGGUUUCUGCAAAUCCCAGCUACCAAAAACUUACAAGGAGCUUGCUUCAACAAGGCCCUGCCUGCAAUUUUAAUUGAAGAAAAAAAAAUUUCUUCUAAAGGUAGUCAUUUUUAGAGAGGCAUUGAAGAUGAAAACCAAAAAGCUCUGUAAAAUUCAGUGGAUCAUGAUGGGGUUUCAUUGAAACGCAAAUAAAAUAUUGGGGUGUUGAUUGUAAUUGCAUUUUCGCCAUGAAAAUUAGAGCUUUCAGCUUCCUGUUUAUGAACAAUCCCCCUUCCCCCAGCAGCAGAAAACAGAUGGGAUCAUUAAAUAAUAUGAGUAAAUAACAUUGCAGGACUUAGGUGAAAAAAUCGAGAGCUAAAUUUGUUAUUAAUUUAAUUUAAAUUUUAUAUAACAAUUUUCAAAUUUUCACUUAUAACGACAAUAUUCGUAGUUAUGGAAUAAGCUCUUUAUUAAAUCAAUUCUCUAUGAUAAUAUAUCGUCUAAUUUUUAAAAUAAAAUUAUAGCUAUUUCAUAUAAGAAACCUAUUAAUUAUCAUUUAUUAAAAGAAAACGAUCUUAAUUAAAAUCUUAUAUAAAUAAAAUGGCUAAAUUUCACGUGGAGAAAUCUAGUAAUCAUAUUUUAUUAAAUGAAAAUAAUCUUCAAUGAGUAGAAUUAAAGAUAUGAUUUCAAUAAACUAUUAAGUUCCCAGAUUAAAGAUUUUAUUAUGAAUUUGAAACAUCGUAAACUUAUAAAUUGAUUACUUGAAUUUAGUUAAUUAAUUUGUUAAUUAAUUGAACUUGUUAGAUCUAUGAAUUUUAUAAUUAAUCACGUGAAAGAAUAUAAAAUAAAAUAUGCAUAAAAGUAAUAAUACAUGCAUUUAAUUUUAUUGAUUUGAUUAUCGCUUUCUUUAUUUUUUUUAACAUAAUUUUUACUUUUUUAUUUUGACGGAAAUUCAUGAUAUAAAUUCUAUUGUAAGCUUACAACGAUUAUCACAGCCAAAAUCUAAGCAUACAAAUGGGAUUAUUAUAGAGUUGAUUGAAAUAUAUUUUGUAUUUGAAAGUUUUGAUCUUCAAAAUAAAUAUUUAAAAAGUAACUGAAAAUCAUUUGAUUUGCUCAUGAUAGAGUGUUCUUAAUCCCUCUAUAUGAAUUUCCCUUUAUUCUCUCUAUAUAUGAAAUUUAUCUUGUAGUUUGUGAAAAAUAAAAAAAGUUGUUGAUUUUUUUUUCUAUUUUGUUAUUUAUAUAAAUUAUUAAGCUAUUAAACUUUGUAAUUGUUAUAUAUAAAUUGCUAAAUUAAUAGUCACCCAUUUAUGAAAAAUAUAAAAUGGACACCUAGUUAUUAGUAAAUUUAUUUUUUAAUCAUCUAACUAUGAAAAGUUACAAAAUAGUUACCCAACAGCUCAAUUGUCUUUUUGGUCACCAGCGAGCUUACGGUGAUAACUUUUAAAACUGACAUAAUAACAGUUUUAACCCUCAAAAUUUAUAAAUUAUGUCAAUUUAGUAAUGGUUCUAACAAAAAUUAACCACCAACAUUUAUACAUUGUGUAAUUUGAUCUUUUCUUAGUUUUUUGCAAUUUUGCUUUUCAUUAUGACAUUGAGGGUUAAUUUUAAAAGAAUGAGAAAAGAUGAAAAUUAUUAUCUUGAAAUUAUGGGUGUUUCUAUUUUUUUAUAUAUUUUCAAUUAAAUUUAACUAACAAUCUAUUUUUAAUUUUUUAGGUGAAAGAGUUAUGGAAAAAAAUAAAAUUAAAAGAAAAAUACACAAUAUGUAAAUGUUGAAAAUUAAAUUUUUUAGUGAAUGUAUACAUUUUCUAAUUCUUACAUAUAAAUAGCUAAAAUACCAAUUUUUAAAUAAACCAUUUAAUAAUAUUUAAUAGUGUUAUUUCAAUUGAUUUUUUAAUGUUAGUAAAAUAUUAACAAAUUAAAAAAUUAUUUUUUGCAAAGCAAGUUAUGAAAUUAUGCUAAAGACAAAAACAUUAGUCAGUUACUUAAAAUAAGAGGGGUAAUAUCGUAAAAUUAAACAUUUGAGUUCCUCGAGGCAAUCUCUGUCUUUUACCCAACACCAAACAGCCCUUUUGCCUGAAGUUGAUUCCUUUAAAUAAUGACAAAACUCUUCGGUUUUGUUUAGUUUUUUCAUUUUUAAAUUAUUAAUAAAUAAAAUUAUUUUUAUUAUGGGUAAAACUGCACUAUAUGUUACUAAACUAUUAAUAAAUUUAUAUUUUAGUUAUUCAACUUUAAAAAAUUAUAGAAUGAUCAUUGAACUAUUCAAAUGUUUUCAUUUAAAUCACUAGGCUGUUAAAAUUGCUAUUGUAUGGCUUUCUCUAUUCGCACUGUUUGCAACAAUUGAAAGCUCUCAUUUCUCUUUUCUUCUACAGUCCAUUUUUUUUAUGAAUCGAAUUUGGAUAUCAUUCGAAUUUAUGAGCCAGAAUUUGAACAGCUUUUUUCCUCGAUCUCCAACAUUAAUCAUAAGAUGGGCUAAGAUUUAAUGUAUGUUAUUCUACUAUUGGGUACUGAUCUACCGUACUGAUAGUCAAAUCGUUGAGCUUGUUAGCCAGACUUUUAAGAAAAAAACUUAACAGACUAGUGAAUUAAAUAAAAACUUUCAAAUAAUUCAAUAACUAUUUUGUAACUUUUUGAAGUUAAGUAAACACAAUGUAAUAGUUUAGUGACCUAGGUGAAAUUUACCCUUUAUUAUUUAUACCUCCAAUUUAAAUAAAAAAAUAGUAUAUCUUUUAAUUCUACCGUACUAAAUAAUUGUUUUUUUAUAUAAUUUAUUUAUUUCAAAUAAAAUCUUCCUUUUUCUUCCACUGCUUCCAAAAAACUGACUACUUUGACAAAUCUUUUGUCUUUAUUUUCGUCACUCCCAUUUUGCCCCUUGAACGCCACGUCACUUUUCUUACACCAACCAUCCUACGUGGCAUCACCACUCCCUUUUGCCAACGUGUCACCCUUCCCUCCCUCUUUAUAACGCGCGUUACUCUCUAUAUCAUCUUCAACUCUCAAACAAAACCAAAAAAAAAAAAAAGAGAGAAGAAAAGUUAAUGUUAAUGCUAGGAUCGCCGGAGUAUGGAUUUUCAGGCGAAGCUGCCGGUAAGUUAAACGUCCUGUUGACAGAGUCCGACGACGAAAGCGAGUUUUCAAACGACGAAGGGAAACUAGAAGAGAUAAUGCAAGAGCUUUACAAAGAGAUAACAGCAACAACGACAAGCUCUUCUCCCAACACUUCACCGCCGAUGGUAACUUUGCCGUCGCCGUCAUCUUCAUCUUCAUCAUCUUCUCCGCCGCUUUAUUUGUCUCCACCGCCGUUCUCCGUCAGCGACGUCAAGAGCGAGAGCUGUGGGGCUUCCAUGUCUGACUCAUCCUCCACCGUGAUGGCCGGUAUCGAGUUCGUCGUACACGCCGGGAAGUUACCCGAAAAAGAGAUAGGGGUAACGGAGAUGGGUUUCGACGAUGAUAAUAACACCACCACCACCAUCAACAACAACAACAACAACAGUGGUGAUUUCGUAGCAAGGGAAGAGGAAAUGGACGGUUGUGAUGAAGGGGAGUUGGGAAAUGAUCAAUGGCUGACAAUAAUUUUAGGGUGGGGUCCACUGGAACUGGAGGACUGGAUCUGAGCUGAUGUGUUUUUUGAUGAUGAUCUUUUUUGAGUACCCAUCAAUGGAGUUUGGCCGUACAGAGAGAGAUAGGUUCCCUUAUAGUGUAGGGAUAGUGUGUCCUAAAGUAGGGUUAGUUCAGAAAACCAGGAUAUAAAGCACUGUGUCAUUGUUCUUUUGUUUUUGCCCUUUCUUUUUUCUUUUGUGUAAUGGGGGUUUUCCAUCUCUCUUUAUGAAAAUGCUUUGGAAAUCAACCCUGGGAAACUAAUCCAAAAAUUUUAAAAAAAUUACAUAUAAAUAUUUUGGUUUAUUUAUGGUUUUAGUCCUUCGAUAUCCAAUAGUUACAUUAGACUCAGAAUUCUUAAAGGAGGAAAAAGUUCCCAACGUUGUUCUUUUCUGAACGCAAGAUUUGAACGCUAAAGUCUAAACCUAGCUGAAAGGGCAUUAAGUUCUUUAUUAUUAUGGUUUUAGUCCUCAAUAUUUAGUAGUGACAUUAGGAUUGAAUUUCUAACCCAAGAUAAAAGUUCUUUUAACCUUGUCAUUAUGGUUUUAGUCCCUCGGUAUUUGGUAGUUACAUUGGGCUCGAAUUUCUAUUGAGCUCCUUGUCAUUAUGGUUUUAGUCCCUCGAUAUCUGGUAGUUACAUUGGGCUCGAAUUCCUAAACGGGGAUAAUGUUUUCUCAACAUUAUUUUUUAUAUUCAUAAGACUUGAACUCUAAACUUUGUUUAAGGAGCAUUGAGCUCUUUAUCAUUACGGUUUUAGCCCUUGCUUGAUAUUUGGUAGUUACAUUGUGCUCGAAUUCCUAAAUGAGGGCAAAGUUCCCCUGACGUUCUUUUUUUCGACUUAACAUAUGUUAGUGAUUUUAGUAAUUUUACUUUUAUAAUUUGGACUUUUAAUUUUAUAAUAUUGUUAAUAAAUCCAAAUAAUUAACUUUAAACCCUAAAUAGUCUUUCUAACUUAUUGUGCUAACAAAAUGAAUGUGUUUUAAGAAAAAAAUGUUGUCAUUUUAAUCAACAUAGUUAACAGUAUUAACUAUUUAGAUAAACUGAUGAUAUUAUAAAAGAAAAGGAAUCAAAAUUGUGGUAAAUUAAAUAGAGGGAUUAAAUUUUAAUUUGAGUAUAAUUGAGGGAUUAAAAUCAAACUUUGACCUAAUAUUUUACAUGAAUUCUAGCCAUCCCAUUGCUUCACCUUGGAUUUGGAGUUUAUGUUAUGCCAACUCAAAUCCAAGUAAAUGUUGGAUUUCCAAAACUUAAUCAAUGAUAUAAGCAAGAAAUACAUAAUUUUGUGCUUAAUUUGGUACCCAAUUAACUUUGUUUGGAAGCACUAUUAUUGGCUAAUAGUGUUAGGGCUCACAAUGCAAGGAAACGGUCCAUUUGAUGGUGAGCUUCAAGGAUGUAUUAUCUCAUGGGCAAUCAAUUAAAUUUAUUAAAUACUAUUAAAUUCAAAUAUACAUACGAUCAGACCGAAAUUAAAAAAUUACUUUAGAGAUAAAAAUGAAUUAUAAAUUUUAAAAAUAAUUCAUCAUUAUAUUAAUUUAUAUUUAACAAAUUUCCAAACAACUAAAAGAUUUAUCAUUUUGAAGACCAAGUCCCCUGCGGCUCUAGCUACUUUCUUGCCUAUGCCCCUACAUAUUGAGGCCAGGAAAGAAAUCCGUCUCGUGCUAUCUCAUUACCGUUCCGAAGUGGGCAGUUGGGGAUGAUUAAGGGUGGGUUUGAACGGGCGGUGCGUUUAAUUGCGAUUAGUGUAGAAACAGCGGUGGCGGUGAGACAGAAAAUAAGCUAAACACACUAUACCGCACCCAAUCGCCCAUCCAAACCCAUCCUAAGUUAACAAAUUGAUCAUGGCUAAUAAACUUAUUUGUAAAGUUGAGGGCCAAAGACCUUGAGAAAGAGUUCUGAUGUAAGUUGGGAUAUUAGGGGAGUCUUCUUCAUAUAAUGUUCUUUUUACUGAGUUUAAAAGCAACUAAAGAAUAUGGUAAACAAUAGACUAGUCAUCACUUUUGGUAAAAUGUAUUUUCAUCCUUUCUCAUAUAAUGUAUCUUGAGCAGCUUACAAAUGUAUUAUAAGUUCUAUCAAAUCAAAUAUUGCAAAAUGUUGCGAUUUAAACUUUGAACUAUAUUUAUUUUCUCACUUUGGUAUCUAAAUUUUUUAUGCAUUAAAACUAUUAUUUUUCAUCUCAAUUUACCGUGAGAAGGAAUAUGACAUAUGACAUAUUCUCAUUGGACAUUGGUAAAUUGAGGCAAAAAUGAUAGUUUGGGUACCAGAAUGAAAAUAUAUAUAUAUAGUUCAAAGAUCAAAUUGUGAUAUAACCCUAAUUUUUUUUGUAUAUAGUAAAAUAUAUUGGACAUUUUAAUUUGAGUCCCUCCGCCAUGCUUAAAUUUAGGAUUUAAUGUAUGCGAUUGACUAAGAGUUGAAGAUUGUUGGCAGAAUAAUUUUAUAGACUAGCUAAUGUGAGUAUAAGAAAAAGAAGAAGCUAAAUAUAUCAAAGUAGAAGAUGAAGUAAUUAAGCAUUGUGUGAAAGCAAUAUUGGUAAGUUUGAGCAAUGAAGGCAAUUCUGGUUAUGGCAAAAACUUGUUAAAUGUUGUGGACAUGUUAGGUUUAAUUAGCCAAAAUUGGUGGCUAUAAACGAAAGGACCAAAUCAUUUCAAACACAACGAAACAUCAACUUUCGGCAACAAAAGAAGAUUGAACAAAGAGAAAAUCAACAAACAACAAAAAGAAAAAAGAGUUGCUCAAUCUUCAUUUCUCACCAAAAAGGUAGAUGAUAGACAUGACAACCCAACCUACAAUAAAUUAAUAUUCGUACCAUUGUUAUAGCGUGAAAUAUAUGCAUAACUCGAGUAAACUAUACCCAAAAUCACUAAUUUAUUAGCGAGUUUAUGUUCUGGUUGUUUAACUUUAAAAAGUUAUAAAAUGAUCAUUGCAUUAUUCAAAACUUUUCAUUUAAACCAUUGGAUUGUUAAAAACGUUUUGUAUGUAGGGGUGUAUUCGGUUUUUAACUUUUGAAACCGAUAAUUGCGAUUCGGUUCAGCGGUAAUAUUGCAUUUCUAGAUUUUUUUCACAACAAUCAUAAUACAUGCUCUAGCUUCAUUUAUAAAUUUAUAAUGUGAAUUAAAUAGUUAAAUUAAUACCAUAAUCAUCCAUAAGAUCAUUUAAAAAAUCACUUUAUGUUAAGUUAUUAAGUUGAUAAAUCAUUUAGGUAGCGUUUGGGAACGGAAAUUUUGAUUUUGAUUUCAAAAUUUUAACUUUGAAAUUUAUGAUUUAUAAAUUUAUUAUUUCCAUAUUAUUUGUUUGGAAAUUAAAAUAUUUGAAAUUUAAGAUUUUGAAUUAAUCCAAAUUCAUUGUUUGGAUAAAUCAGAUUUCGAUUUGGAUUUCAACUAAUUUUAAGUCUUAAAAACAUUUUUUUUUAAAUUUAAUCAUUUGGAAUGAUUUUUUUUAACAUUGUUGUUCGAACCAAACUAGACUAGUCGGUUGGACCGGGAAUCAGCUAAGGUACUGGUUUGGAGAAAGGCAUUAGAUCAAUUGACAUGGGAAUCAAAAUGGACUGGUUGAUUAGGCGGUUGAAGUACCAUUUAUUUUAAUUUUAUUAAUUUUUAUGAAUUUUUAAUAUUUUUUAAUAGAACUGAAUGAACUGGUCGAACCAAUUGUACUAGUCAAACCAAUUGAACUUGUUGAAUUAUUCAAACCGAUUGGACCAACAAACCAAAAGCCUAAUCAGUUUGAGCACCAAUUCAAUUUUGAAAACUGGACCAAACUAGCUAGUUAGGCCGAUUGCACUGGGUAUAAGUGGACUUACUUAGGUAUGACUUAAAAGUCAAGGGUUUAAAAUUAAAAUUGUGGAAAUUAUGGUAUAAAUGAAAAUUUUAAAUAUUUAUACUAUAUUAAAUUAAAUGCAUGAAGCUUCAGUAUUGUUUUCAGAACCGGACUGGACCGACCUGUCAGAUUAAUUGGAUCAAGAAUUGGUCAGGUUACUAGUUGGGAAUAAGGAAUCAGAUUGGUUGACUCGUGAAUCGGUCGAACUGACGAUCGGAUUGGUUGAAUCGAUUUUAUAUACUUUAAAUAUUUUUAAUAAUUUAUUCAAUCAAACCGAUUAGAUUGAUCGAAUCGAGAACCAGUGGUCUGAUCUGUUUGCCUAUUGAUCAAAUUCUAAAAACCUUGAGUUUCGUUGAUGACAUAUUAUAAGUAAGAUUAAUUAACUAUUGUUUGGGUUUUGAAGGAAGUAUGAAAUAAGAGAGAACAAAAAAGUUCUCAAGUUAUUUUAAACAAUCUUGGAUUUUGAAAAUUCCAAGUUUUAAAAUGGAUUUUGUAAUCCAAAAUUUAACUCUCAUGAAAUUGGACUUGGAUUUAUCCAAUUUUUUAUUUGUUAUCCAAUUUCAUAAGAGUUAAAUUUUGGAUUUAACAACUAUUGUUUGAGAUAGGAUUGAAACUUCAAAAAUUCGAAAAGCAUGAGAACUAAAAAUGAUAAAAUUGGGAAAUAGGGACUAAAUCCAUGGUUUAUGAAAUCAAUAGUAGAAUUUGAUCUAACAAAUUUAAUUUCUACCGUUUGGUUCAAGGUUAAAAUUUCAAAAUUUGAAAAGUACAAUAACUAACAUCGAUUAAAUUAGACCAAAUUUAUAACUUUGACAUAAUGCAAGGACUAAUAGUAGAAUUUGACCGAAAAUAUGUCCAGUAUGAGCAUUUGAAAAAAGAUAAAUUCACCAAAUUGAGGACUUUUUGGUCCACCAUAAGAUGGGCUCGAUAGAUAUAUUCCAUUUUUAUUUGUCCAACCCCCAUCUUGGAUUGGACCUCGAGUCAAACCCAACGAAUAACCCAAUGGACUUUGAAGCCCAGGUUGCUAUGCAUAUAUAUGGGUUCAUCCAACCUAUUUUUAGGAAAUAAUAUAUCCAAAUAUAUAUAUAUAAAAUGUUAUUUUUUUGUGUAAUUAAAAUAUGUUUUAUGUCUAUUUUAUGUAAAAAAUCAGUUGGUAUUAAUUUGGAUAAGGACGGCUUGAAUUUUGAGACAGUGGACUACUCUCAUCCGAUUAAACACAUGUUUUUGGCAUGUAUGGACAAGCACACUUUUUUUCUUUUCCCUCCAAAUGUAAAAAGUGUAAAGUUUCAUGUGCUUAAUAAUGUUUAAUAAUGUCAGACAUGUAAUGAUUGCAAGAUGUAAUAAAUUUUGUUAAGGGGUGCUCAGUUUUUUUUUUAUUUUUUUGAAAAUUUCUUUGAAAUAUCAGUUGUUAAAAAUCGGUGGAAUUCUUAAUAGUUCAAUAUUGCCUCAGGUUUAGUUGGAGUUUUAUCUCUUUAACUCUACGGAGAAUUUGAGUGCUUGAAGAGACUGCAUGAGACCCAAGUUCAUAAAGUAAGAGCGCCUCGUCAAAAAGAUCCCUGCGUGGUGUACCAUCACCUACCAAAGGAAACGGUGAUCAUUUACCUAUGGUAGGGUUUGAUGCUUGAACCCAAACUAUAGGCUAUAAGUUACUAGAGGAGAGGCAUGCUCGCGCUUUAUAAACCUAUGCCCCAAGUGGUUUCUUCAGGCACUUGGACUUUUCACGAAAUCGAGAGACAAACCUCAACUCGAACUGUGAAAAUUGUGUAAAAAACACACACACUAAUAAAUAAGGUCCAAAUGUUGUAGGUCCUUGUACUAUGAUAAAAAUUGAAAUUUAGUCAUUGAACUUAAAAUUUUAAAAACUAAUUCCUUCUACUUUUUUCGAUUUAAAAAUUUUUAGUCCUCUCAUUAUUAUUGUUUUCAUCAUUUUUUUUAAAAAUUUGCUAACUUAGGAUGUCGAUGAAGUUGUCCGCAUAUGAUGUGGCAUAUGAUUAACAAAUUUUGACAUGAGCUGCUAAUGAUGUUAAUGAUUAGACUGAGAUUUUUAAAACCGAAAAGAAAUGAAAGAUUUUUUUAAAUUUUUCUUAACUUUUAAUGUAUAAGAACUAAAUCUUAAAUUCUGUAAAAAUUAGGGACUAAAAACGGAAUUUAACCUAUAUAUAUAUCUUAGAGGAUAUGUCGUCGAGAAAGUUUGACCGACGAGCGCAGCCAUUGCCGUUUUCAGAUUCAAUGGCACAUAAAAGAAUUUCACAUAAUUUUCUUUAAAAGAAAAAGUUAUAAAAACGACAGCAAAUCAUAUAUUAUUUUAUUUAUAUUUAAAUAUAUAUAUGUGUGAAAUAUAAAUUACGAUUUUUUCUUUUAAAAAAAAUUAUAUAUUAUUGUUGAAAGCAUGAUUUUUUUUAUGUAAAGGUGUUACAUCCUACUAAAUCGCUGCGAUUGAGGAAUAAAUUUAAGGAAUCCUUCAAAAGAAUCUCUCAGGAUCACCUUCCGAAAGUAUCCUACGAUUCAACAAUUAAAGGGGCCCUAAUUAUUAAUCGUUAUACUUGACUCCAACCAUCAAUCUUAUUUGAGAUGAUUGAAAAUACAUUCAAUUGACACUUUAUAGUGAUAAACCACUUGACCACUUAUCUUCGACUCACCUAUGAGAAUUUUAGGUAUAGCACGUUGAGACAAAGCUGUUACAGAAAAUGGAUCCUCUCUCCCUCUUCUCUCACUUUCUGUCACUCCAAUUUCGAUAUCCCUUCAUCCUCGACUACCCUAUCUAAUGAUCCUCUGCCUGGUAUUAAACAAAAUAAACCAUACAUCUCCACCAUCAUCUCAGCCUUGUUGGAUUAUCCCAUUAAAAAAUGUCAAUAGUUAAUACACAAAAGAAGUUUUGGUGGUUCAGUACGUUCAUCCAGUGAAGACUAAGGACUGGUGGAGAUCCGUAGGAAGGAUGAAGGCAUUAAGCUCUGAGAUCAGAGGCCAUUGAGUGUUGGCCGAAAAGUGCUUGAUACACUAGCUUAUAGAUGACGGCUCUUUUAAUCUAAAUAUGCCAUACGUUGAACUAUGAUUGAGGCUUAAAUACACUGGUAAGUCGUAGCAACUGGCGUAAGCACAGUGACGCUACAACAUGUUCGAGACUCCUUGGAUUGGGCUUGCACAAUCUGUAUGCGGGUUUUUAAGAACAAAGUUUUAACUGUCAAACCAUAAAAUAAUAAUAAUAAAUGCAAAAUUAAAGAACCCACAUUGAAAGUAAAGGAUGGAGAGGUGAGGGGUCCCACCUGGUAUUGAAAAUUCCAGAAAUGGUUUCAGGUUCAUGCACCUUCCAAUUCCAAAACAAGCAAAUGUAGUAUUUCAAUUAUAUAAAUUAUUCAUUUUUUAUUGAUUCCCAAUUUUAAAUUUAUUUUUUGUCACAAUAUAUAAAUCACUUUUUGCCUUUGCUUCUUCAACAUGAACAUCACCAACAACAACUUAAGAAAAAAAACUUUUCUUCUUCCUUCAUCAUUUUAAAGAUCUUUACUUUAUGGCAGGUUAGUGAAACUAAAAGCUUUUCACCAUUGGUUCAAAAUUUUCAUUUUUCCCUCUUUGUUGAAUAUGAAUUACAUGGACUUAAAGAUCUUGUUUUUAUUUAAUGUGUUGUGAUAUUUUUUUAUGGGUUUUGCUUGUUUUGAUUGAAUAUGCAUUACUUGGACUUAAAGAUCUUGUUUUUAUUUGUUGUAUGAUGAUAUCUUUUCUGGGUUUUGCUUGUUUGAAUUGAAUACUGUUAGGUAGAGAAAAAAGAUUUGUUUUUGCAAAUUUCCUAAUAAAAAUUGUAACUUUUAGUGUUUAAUUUGAUUUAAAAACAAGAUCUGUUAAGUUGAUUAUCUGUUUGAUAUUUGCCUCCUUUUUGCCCUUUCGUGAUUCGACUCGAUUUUGAAUUUAUUUGGCUCCAAUGUGAUUACUGGGUACCGAAAGGGGUCUAAAAUUUACCAAUUGAAUGAAUCUUUAUUUAGGCUAUAGCAUUUUUUGGGGAUCUUGUGUAUUUAUUCUUAGAUUCUAUGUCACUUUAGUGUCGGACUCGGGUGUAUUUGAUUCCUUUUUUUUUUUUUUUGUAGAAUGUAAAUCUAUCAUUUUUGUGACUGCAUGAUUGCUUUAUGAAAUGGUGAUAGUUCACCACCAAGAACUACAUAGAUCCGACCCCUGUGUUCCAAUAAUGGAUCGCAAACAAGGUUACGAUAUUGAACUUACGAGUUCUACUUCUAAAGUUGAGCAUGAAUUAUGGCCGUUGGAUGGAAUUGAUUCGAAGAAUUCCAAGUUUCCCUGUUGUCUAGUUUGGACACCACUCCCUGUUGUUUCAUGGUUAGCACCUUUCAUAGGACACGUAGGGAUUUGCCGGGAGGAUGGAGCGGUUCUUGACUUUUCGGUGUCGAAUUUUGUCACUGUUGAUGGUUUUGCUUUUGGUGCUGCAGCUCGAUAUGUUCAACUCGACAGAGAAAAGGUACAUUCCUUCAUGCACAGGAGAGCAUAGUUACUAGAUUGUUCAUGGGUCAGGCGACUCGCCCAAGUUUAAAGGUUCGUCCAAAAUUUGUUUUGGGCAAAACCAUUAGGUUAAAAAAUGGGCUUUGGAUAAAAAAAGCCUCGUUUAAAAUAUGGAUCGGGUUCAAGCUUCAACAUUCAAUCUUUGACCCGGUUUGACCCAUAAAUACCUCUAGUUAUAACCCUUUUUGUAUGUGAGUUGGUUUUUCUCAUUAACUACUUUGUCUUGUUGGAUAUAGUGUUGCUUUUCUCCAUAAAUACCUCUAGUUAUAACCCUUUUCAUAUGUGAGUCGGCAUUAACUGCUUUGUCUUGUUGAAUAUAGUGUUGCUUUCCUCCCAACAUGUCCGGGCAUACGUGCAAGCGAGGUUACCAACAUUCCGAGUACGGGACUGCAAUCACAUGGGAUGAUGCGUUACGGUCGAGCGCACGUAACUUUGAGCACAAGAGCUACAACCUCUUCACGUGCAACUCUCACUCGUUCGUAGCCAAUUGUCUCAACCGACUUUGCUACGACGGAUCGAUGGAUUGGAACAUGAUAACCGUGGUGGCUUUAGUAAUUAUCAAGGGUCAUUGGGUCAAUAACAUGUCGAUAAUAAGAUCAUUCCUCCCUUCCACGGUGGUGCUUUGCCUCGGGUUAGUAUCGGUCGGCUGGCCCUUUUUGGUUGGAUUGUUCUCAUUCUCUAUACUUCUACUGGGGUGGUUUCUAUUGGGAACUUAUUGUUUCAAAACGUUAUUGGAAAGAUAGAGGUGUUGUUUUCAUUGAAGUUGAAAAUCUUUUUUGUUGGUUGAAAGUUGCAUACCAUAUUUGUUAAUGGUUAUUUUUUAUUUUCAUUUUACCCUUAUAAUUGCAUUCAAAUCUAAACACAUAAUUUCACCCUUCAUUCAAAUGGAACUACGAUCAAUCCUAUGGAUGGAUGGGGUUUGUGCUCCGAUAUUCUAGAUAUAUUGGUAGUGUUUUAUUUUUUUACAAGAUAUUUAUCAAUUCUCUCAUCUAUUUCUCGAAUUUAAAGGCUCCAUUGGUAAUGUGCUAAAUAUUUAUUUUUAUUUUUAUCUAAUAUGUCAUAUAUAUAAGUAAAAUUACUAUGUAAGACUUUGUACCAUAAGUCAGAUUGCAUUUUGCCUCUUUUAAUUUAAAAAAUGAGUAAAUUAAUCUUUGUAUAUUAUAUCAAAGAAUAAAAUGGUCUUUUCUGUUAAAAAAUUCAUCCAUUUGUAUUGUUAAAAACUAACUUGGCUGACGAAAUAACAAAAUGACAAGUUGUGUACCAUAUGUACCUCACGUUGAUGUACAAGACUCAAUUUUUAACCGUACAAAUGAAUGAAAUUUUUAACAGAAAAAUUUAUUUGCACUUUGAUCUAACGUAUAGGGACUAAUUUGUAUAUUUUUUUUGUGUAGAGGGACAAAAUGUAUUUUGGACUCUUAGUAUGGGGACCUCCAUGGUACUUUUAUUGUAAUUUAUAUUAUAUGAAAAUUUAAUAUAUUAAUAUUUAAAAAUUAUAUUAAUAAAUUAUGUUUUAAAAAAUUAUAUCAAAUUAUUAUUUAUUUGUUGUGGGGAGGCUGAGGAGUAUUGACUUUGUGAAAUGUCUGAGUGCUUGAAAAUUGAAAUAACGAAUUUAACGAAAACAAACGGUGCGUACACAUGGGCACCUCUAGGGCGGGGCAGUUGGUGAGGUGGGCGGGGGAAUCCAGCAAACUGCAAAGGGAAGUUAAAGAGCACGUGGGGGGUAAAGUUUGUUAGAGAUGUCACAUGAUAUCCACGAAUCUCCCAAUUUUUAAUUUGCCUUUUCAACAGUGGAAGACAACACCACCCCAUCCCUUACAUGUUCUUGUCAUUUAACUGGUACUACUAAAUCACAAACUUCAUGAAUUAUUACACAAUAUAUAUAUAUAUAUAUAGAUGUUUCAAGAACAGUCUCACCUUGUGUUUUGUGUUUCUUUUUUAGGGCAAUGAGCUUUGCUUUUGUUGUUCUUGGUUAAUGGGGAUUGACGAGUAAGUAAUUAUUUUUGGUUUAUUUCUGUUUUUAGUCCCUAUGCUAUGCUUACUUUUAAUUUUGGAUAAUUUUAUUUUCUUACUUUGACACUGUUUACUUUUAGAUGUUAAUCGACUGUCAACUGUUGUUUUAAAGUAAAUUUCAAGUUACCACUUAUUUUUAAAAGUUUACUACUAAGAAUUGGAACAACCUAGAUUAAAGUUGAUUAACCUAAGUAAAACCUGCACAUUGCUAUACACGAACUCAGGCAUUAAAGACUCAGUACGGUGCAGGAGGAGGUAAGGGGUUAUGGCCCCAUAAAAUAAAAUAGUAAAAUUAUAUUUUAACCUUUUAAAUUUUAUAAUUAUAGAAAUAUGUUUUACUUUUAAAAAUUGAUAAACUUUAGGUUAAUCCUUUAAAAAUAUAAGUUAAUAGAGUAGUGAAAUUGAGUACUAACCAUACAAAGUCUUUAUUGGCAAUUUUAAGUUAUCGCUUUGAUGUUAUCAUUUCAGACUUACUUAUAACAUUAGAGAUUAAAUUACAGCUUUAAAAAUGAUAGAAGAAUUAGACAUAAUUGAUAUUUUUGUUGGUUUUAGAAACCCAAUUAAUUUAGAUGAUAAUUAACAAGUAACAAUCAUUAUUAGUUUAAAGAUAAGACAACAUCACUUAUUGGGUUAUUGCACACAAAUUGAGUUAUGGUGGUUGGCAGAUACAAAAGUAAUUUUGCCAUGAUUUCAUAUCAACCCAAAACUUCAAUGCUGUCAAACAAAGAUUGGAUCUUUUACCAAUAAAGAGUAACUAAGAUAAUAAAAUGACAUUAACCCAGGUAAGAUUUCACCAUUGGGUUAUGAGAUUUGAGAUUAAACUAUGCAUACAACUUGUUAAAAAAUUAUAUAUAUUGUCAUCUUGCCAAAAGGGAAAAUCCCAACACAAAUGAUGGAAUCUCAAGUAAAGCUAGAAGACAAAGUCCUUUCCCAAUAUAGCCAUUCUAAUUUUCUAACCAUGAAAUCUCUUACAUAACUUAGAAGUGAGCAUAUUAUUAUUAUUAUUAUUAUUAUUAUUAUUAUGAAAUCACAAAAACACAAACUACUCACUUGUUGGUUCAAAAGCCCCCAAAGGGCAUAUAUGUCCAUAAAAAACAAUGUAUAUAUAUGUCAAAGUAUUUUUUUAUCGAUUUGGUCUGCUUAAAUUUAAAAUUUGGUCCCUAUAUUUUAAUUUGACAUGAUUUAUUCUUUUAGCUAUAAUAUCAUUCGUUAGUCUAAGUAUUUAAGAUAAAAUACUUAUGUAACUCCUUCCUACAAGGAAAAAAGAUGUUAAAAUAUAAUUCAAGUCCUUAUAGUUUUAGUAUGCUUUUAGAAUUAAGAAUUAUACUUUUAUUUUUAAAAUUUUAGUGUCUUUACUUUUUAAAUUUAAAAAUUUAGGUCAAAUUGAUAAUAUUGUUCAAAUUCUUUUAUUAAAUUCGUUGUAUAUUUAUUUGGUAGCUAUGUAAUAAAAAAAAUGAUGUUCUGAUCGACUUGAAUUCAACAAAAAAAAAUUGUAAUGAUGGUAUUCACUUGUAUUUUUCAAAAUCUAGAAAGCAGACGAGUAAAUUCAUAAAAGUAAGAUAUUGAAUUACAAAUAUAUAAAGAAUACAUGAACAUAUAAUAACAAGGAAAAAGUCAUGGAGGAAGUGUUCUUAAGAAAAAAAUCCACAUUAGCGAUUUAAUCAAAAUUGAUAAGGUGACUAAUGAUGUUAUAAAAGUAGAGAUGUUAAACUAUAGGGACUAAAACUCUAAUUUAAGCAUAAUAAAAGGACCAAAAUUAUAAUUUGACCCAUAUAUAUAUGUAUAUAAAAGCCAUUUAACCCAUUCUCGUAAGCUUUGUCAUUUAGUCUCUUUUCCUUCUAUAUGAACUCAAAAGCCUCCUUUUUUUUUUCUUCAUCGUCAACAACAGGCAUGGACUCAGCGGAGCCACCCCCUCAUGGCCUAACCAAAGAAGAAUACACCGAGCUUAAGCCAUUGAUCCAAACAUACCACAAAUUCGAGCCAAUACCCAACACAUGCACGUCCCUCAUAACCCAACGCAUCGACGCUCCGGUCCGAGCCGUAUGGCCAUUCAUUCGUAGCUUCGAAGCACCUCAAAAAUACAAGCACUUCAUAAAAAGCUGCAACAUGAGCAGCGGCGACGGCGGUGUAGGAAGCGUUAGGGAAGUCACCGUCGUUUCGGGUCUACCGGCGUCGAAGAGUACGGAGAGGUUGGAGAUGUUGGAUGAUGAGAAGCAUAUAUUGAGUUUUAGGGUCGUCGGUGGUGAACAUAGGUUGAGGAACUACCGGUCGGUGACGUCGGUGAGUGAGUUUAAAGAGGAAGGUAAGGUUUAUACAGUUGUUUUGGAAUCUUAUAUCGUUGAUAUACCGGAAGGGAAUAGUGGAGAAGAUACGAAGAUGUUUGUGGACACGGUGGUGAAGUUGAACCUACAAAAGCUUGGGGUUAUUGCAAUAGCCGCCGGUUCAGUUCAUGGACAUGAUUGAAUAUUAUUAUUAAGGGGUGGUUUUUGAGAAGAUGAUGAUGUUGGGUUUUUUAUUGAUGGGAUGGUAAAACUAUGUAAUAGAAGUUUGAUUUUACUUCUUUUUAUUUUUUUACUAAAUCCAUCUUUUUCUUUUAAAUUUUAUCUUUUCCUAUGUUAAAGUUUGGUCUUUAUAUGUCAAAAUAAGGUAUAUGUGAUAUAUCACAUGUAACUGUUUGAGUAUUCUAUUAGUCACAUAACUUUUUAACAGUAAAAUAAAUGAGAUUUUAAUUGAAAUAACUUCUUUAUUUUUUGAUCCAAUGUAUAAGAAUUUAUUUAUUUAUUUUUUAGGUAAAGAAAACAAAAUAUAAUCUAACUUCUAAUAUAUUAAUUUCUAUGAUAUUUGGAUGUUCGAGGUUUGAAAAUAUUAUUAUAUAUCUUUAGGUUUUAUUCUGAGUGAUUGAAUAUUUAAACGUUUCAUAUUUUUUAUUUUGGAAAUUGCAAGUUAUGGAUAGGUUAGAUUUUGUAUUAAAUAUUUAUCCGUAAUUAGUAUGUAUAUAUAUAAAGGGUUAUAUUAUAGUAAUAAAAAAUUAGCUUGGGAUGGGAAGUGGUGAAUUGUAUUUUUUAAUUAAUAUUGAAUGUUUCAUGAAUAAAAAAUAUAAAAAAUCAAAGCUUAUUUGAAAAAAAAAGAGUACGACCUUAUAAGUUUAAUCUCUUAACUUGAUUAGCAUUAGUAUUAUUGUUGGUGCGCAGGAUAUAGGUUCGAGUGCGUUGAAAUGCAUUACCCUCCUAUUCAAUGGUUGGGAAAGAGUUACGAGUGGUUCUAGGCAUUGUAUCAAGAUUCUAACUUAUAUUAAUUAAUGUUGAGAUAAAAAAGAGAAAUAAAUUAUAAAUUUUUGGGUGCUAAAAUAAGUUACUAUUUUUGUAAGGUUUCGAGAAGAAAAAAGGUUUUUCAUAACAAUCGAACGGUCAUAUUUCAUAUUAUAUUUAUAGAGAUCAUGCAUGUUAAAUUGGAUACAUUUAUUUUACAUAAAAAAUUGUCAACCAUUCAAUAAAUACUAAUAUAUACACAAUCGAUAUGAUAGAAAUAUUUGAUCGGUUCAAAAAUUUAUAUACAUGACAAAUACAAUUAUAUCGAUAAAUUCAACCGUUAAAUAUUAAUCAUACAUAAAAAAACCUAAUUUCAUAAUAGUGUAAGGGAAUCCUCCCAUAUAUUUCCAUAUAUACUUGGAAUUCACGAGAAUUGGAUGUAUAUAUAGUGCAAUUUAUGAGUGAUGGUUUAAGUUGGUGAAAACAUGGUGUGGAUUUGAAAGUCAACCCAAAAUUCAACAUCAAGAGGCAUGAAAAGAUGAAAGUCAAAUAUAUUUUUCAAAAAUGUGAGCAAAAAACCUGUGACUAUCAAACAAAUCCCAUUAAAAUAAAGCUUCUCUUUCAUUGAUUUUCUCAAACCCCAUCUUAGCCAAUUACUACUGUUCAUGUAUGCAUGCCAAUGGCAUAAAUAAAGCUUUCAUGGAUUUUCUUUUAAAGAGAUAAAAUCCGUAACUUUUCUUUUCCGUGAUGCUAUCACAUUAAUUUUGAUUCAAGAAAAAAAAUGAGUGGAGAUCAGCUUUUUUUCUCUUUCCUUUUUUUUUUUAAUUUCAUUAUUAUUCAUGUUUCUUUUAUUAUAAUUACAAUAUUUUUAUGGUACAAGUUUAAGUUCUUCUUUGUCGAGAAAAACAAAACUUAGGAAAUUCAAUUAUACGGGCUAAUUCGAACGAGUCCUUAGAUUUAUCAUUAGCAAGGUCCUCGAUCAAGUUGGGGGAGCUCUACUAUCAUAUUGAUACCCUCUGAACCACCGUGUACCAUAUUAACAAUCCGAUCUGUAACUUGAUUAGUACAAAUUAGAAAUAAUAUUCAAGUAAAACUCUCUCGAUGUUUAUAUAUUUUAUAUAAGCGUUGACAAGAUGUGCAAAUAUUGUGGGUUAAAUUUGUUAAAUCAAUACCAAAUUGACAUAAUGUGCAAAUUUUAAGAGAUGAUUUUGUUAUUACAUCGAUAUAGUAUAUGUAGAUUUAGAAUUGUCCAUGGGUCGGGUCGAGACCCUAUUCCAAAAAAAGUUUAAUGUCCAGGCCCACUUUUAGGCUGACCCGGUCAGCCCAAAAAGUCCAUUUUAUUGUUCAAAAAAAUAAGAAAAUAAUAUAUUUUUAAUUGAUAUUUUAUAUCUUUUAUAAUUAAAUUUAAAAUAGUAAAUAUUUUUUAUUAUUAUUUAAAUUGAAUUCUUGCUGAGUCAAGGUACAAAAAUCCAUAUCCAAGCUUGACCCAAGUCAGGCCGGGCGGGCUACUUAACCCUUGAAUAGGUCUAUGUAGAAUUGACGUAAAACAUUAAUGUUUUGAUUAAUUGUUCUUAGUUGCUCACUUUCGAAAUUAACAAGGAUGAAACUUGCUUUGACUUUUUUAGAGAGACCGAUUUACUCAAUAUCGAAAUUGAGAGGGAUAAAUGAGGUAUUUUUACCCCACAUAUGCAUGGUUUAAAUAUGCCAUGGGUCCCUGUACUCUUCACAAAUUUAAAAUUUAGUCCUAUACUUAUAUUUCUAUAAAAUUUGUCCCUCUACUUUUUAGAUUUCAUAAUUCAAGUCCAACUAUUAAUAAAAUUAAAUUUAUUUUAUUAAAUUUAGGUUCAUUAUAUUGUCAUUUUGUCAGUUACACUACUGUCAGGUGAUUUUUUAUAAUUUCAAAAUGUCACGCCAACUAAUUUAACAAAAAAAAAAUAAUGCUAACAAUUAGACCUGAAUUUUAAAAUCUAAAAGAUAACAUGACUAAAUUCUUAUAAAUAAAAAUAUAGGGACUAAAUUUUAAUUUUAUUAAGAAUAUAUAAACAUAUGACAUAUUUUAACACACAUAUAUAGAAGGAAAGUGUGACAUUUUGAAAAUGUGGGUAGGCAAGUAUUUGUUGGGUCUAGACCUAUUUAUGGGCUGAGCUACUUGCCUAAGCUCCAAGGCCCGAUUGAAAUUUGGUAGGAUUUGAGUAAAAAUAUUAUGUACGAAAAAUGGAUUUAGACAAAUAAAUAAACCCAUUUAAAAUAUGUUCAACGACUUGAACUACCUUGUUUUCUUAAAUUUAUAAUAUUUUAUAUUAUGUUAUUUUUUUAUAUUAUGUAAUUUAUAACACAAAAAUUAAAUCUACAGUAAUAUAUAAUACUUCUACAAUGUAAACAUUAAAAAUAUUAAAAAAAUUAUAUAUAAAAUUAUAAUAAAUAAAAAAUAUUAAAAUAAAAUAAAAUAAAUAUACAUUUAAAAUAAUAAGAGUUUAAAUUAACUAUUUGUAAAUAUGAUCGGGAUUAAAAGAAUUUUUAAAUUUAUAUUUAAAUUAGAUUUAAUUUUAAAAUAAAAAAUAUAUUAAUAUAAUCCGAAGAUGUACCAUAAACACCUGUAGUUGGGUUUAAUCUUAAAGGCAAACAACACUCGCGGCCUUCGAGUUUAGACCCAUUAAACUAAAGUAUUGUUGCUUGCUCCCCCUUUUCUUCCCACUGCUUAUAAAAUCGCUCUCUGUAUGCCAUCUAGGGUUUCCUUUUCCAUACUCUCUCACAAAUGGCGACAGCCACCAAUGCAAAUAUGGUGGCCAGACACUUCCCUCUUCCGGUGGUUGGCCGCCUGAUCUUGCAGUGAAGCCAAGCGUCCUCGUGUCGAGAACGCCUUUUACGGUGGUUUCUGAUUUAGUGUACUUAUUUUUUUGGUUUCCCUCAUCGUAGCAUGUAUUAUUGUAUAUAGUAGAAAAUGAUUGAUAUGGAUAUGAUGGGUGUAAAGUAAAAGGUCUGAGCAAAAGGGAAAAAGCUUAUGCUGGUAGUUGAUAAUGGCGUCGAAGUUAAAAGCAAAGGGAGAGGGCCCUAGUCCUUGUUUUAAAGUCAUUGCAGUGCGACUCGCGCAACCUCUCCCACAACAAAAUUCAAAUAUGCCUAAAGCUUAUUAGCAAUGGCUGUUGAUAUGGGUUGAAAUAAAAAGGCGUGGGCUGUGUUUUUAGUAUUAAACACUAGCCUAGACUUCUCCCUACAUAUCUAAUCAGUUGCCUCAUCAUAAUGCUUUUUCCCUUUGCGUUUGAUCAAAAAUCUUCAUUGCUGAUCCAUUGCAAUCAAUCGAUUCCCCCCCUCUUGUCGUGCGUCUUUUACUUGUUUUUCAUUAAUUGCUGAGAAUUUUUGAACUUAAUGAUGAUACUUGUAUAUAUGUUCUGAAUUUGAUGCAGUGUUAAGGAGGAUACAUUGAAUUGCAGAUGAAAGGCAUUGGGGUAUUGCAUGUGGGUUAGAUUGUUUUGCUCAAAGCUGUGAAUGGGAGGGUUAGAUCAUUCAAAAUUGAGGUUUAGGAUUUUUGAGUCAAGUGAUUAUGUAUUUCCUGAAUUUGGUCCAUUCAAGUUGAAGUUUUUUGGAUUUGUACGAAGUUGAGGAAACUGUAAAAGCAACCAACUGUUAAUCCAUAUUUGUUGGCCUCUAAUAUCUAUUACCUUAGAUGAAAAAGUAAUUUGAUCUUUUUUGUUAUAAGAUUUCAUCAAUUUAUAUUGUUAAUGGUGGAAAUGGAUCUAAUUUUUAAUAGAAGGAUAAGUUUGUACUUCUUAUAUAUAGUAAAAAGAUUAACUUAUCCAUUUUUUAAUAGAAAGAACAAGACCUCAAUGAAAAAUUGUUUCUUGUAACCUAUCGAUUUGACCCAAACACGUAAUUUCAAACUAGAUUAAUUCGAAUACAAAAUCCGAUUCUAUCCAGUUUGAUCACAAAAAGUUGACGUAAAAGGCUCCACACUCGAGUAUCAAACUCAAAAUGAUUCGAUUGGCUAACUUGAAAAUACCCUAAACUCAAAAAAAUUGAAACUUAGUCCUCAAAAAUCUCUUUUUUCUUUAUGCAAAGCCAAAAUAGUGGCAUUCAAACAAGUUCCUGUAAUUUUUAUCAAAAUCAAAGACCCCUAUAAUCUUGAUGAACAUAGUAAGCUUUUUUUUUUUCCUUUAAUCUUCUGUCUAAAAGAGGCUAUUCCUAAAUGCAAGCACUACCUUUGGUGUCAAUAGUAAGAGAAAUGCCAAUAUCGAGCCGAAGAACAUUUUGACAAGGUAUCUUAAGGGAUCAUAUUCAGCUUCUUCGUCAUUUUCCGUUGAGGCUGACAGGGCUUUUGCUGAUGGUAGAGCUUCGACUACAGCAUCGGCUAAGUCAGUGAUGAAUAAAGAGUUGCAACCUAGAGCAGGAACACGACCCCAAUUCUUGAUUCCGGACUCGAGGGCUAAAUGUUUAUAUUCCAUGUCGAUCUCUUCGAGAGUCUCUAUGUGUUCACUCACAAAGCUGGAAUUUGAGAUGGGAAGUUAAAGUUAAUAUAACUAAUACAUAAACCAGUAUUAAAGCAAAUAUUAUCGAACGAACUCUUCGAACUAACGCACCUUAUAGGAACGGCUAGAAGACUCUUCACUCCUUUUUGACCAAUCUCGACAAGAACUUCAUCGGUAUAGGGCUUUAGCCAUUGGACAGGACCGACUCGACUCUGGGAGGAUAGCGUGAAGAGUAAGUUGAGUAUAACGAUUUCAGUUUUCCGAAGUGAAAGCAGAAACUCGGUUCUAAAACAAACCUGGUAAGCGAGGGUAUGAUCGUUUCCAAUCCCUCUAGCUUUCAGCUCUUGCAUGAUUAAGUAGAUACACUCCUCCAUUUGAUCUUUGUAUGGAUCUCCAGCUUCCUCGACAUAGCUGACAGGUACCCCGUGGGCACUAAAGAAUAUCAUGACCUAAAGUUUGAAGGAAUAUUAGAAACCGUCAUGAUAAAGUUGUUCAGAGGACCAUAAUUUGAGGAUAUCAAAUUACAAUUAACAAAUUUGUGCAACAAACCUCUUCAGGCUUUGCAAAUUUACCCAACUCUUUCUCGAUCAAGUCAGCCAUAGAGUUAAUAUAACCUUGUCGUUGAUACCAUGAAAGAAUGACGGAUACAGGUAGUCUUGAUAAAUAUGCAUCUUCCCUGAAACAUAAACCCGCAUUUCAGAGCCAUUUACGAAGGAGAUAAAGUAAAGGAUGUUUUAAGCAGAAAGGUGCAACACAAAUUAUCGAAAACCUACUUGAAUAUACGUUGGAGAACACGGAUGCUGGAACCGGUUGUGGAGAUGGAGAACUGAGGAUAUAGAGGCAGCACAACGAGCUUUGUUAUUCUGUCCCGCUUAAUCUGUUCCGUUAAAAGAAAAGCUAAGCAAUUUAGACUCGAUGCACUUUGGAGAUAGACCAUUAAGUGUUAAAACGAGAGGUAUAAUUUCAAUUUAUAUGAAUUUCGACGGCAUUUUCAUAUGAUACCAAGAACUUGCACCAAGACAUGUCAAUGUGUUCGUAUAUUACUCAAACUCAAGUGAGAGUUUCUGAUACGAAUUUGUUUUGGAGGAUCCUCGGAGUGUCAUAUCCCAUACUCAUGUCCACAUAUAUGCAUUGACACAGCUACUUCAAGAAAAAUAAAAACUCGGAGCAACAUAAAAUUUUCCUUUUCGAUAUAAUAUCACAAAAGUUCAUAGCAUUACCAAUGAUUAUGAAACUUAAAAACUACGCAAUUUUGGUUGACCAACAAAAUGCCAAACCUGUUCAAUUGCUUCCUCGGUGAAGGGGAACCAAUAUCGCAUUCCAACAUAUACAUUAGCACGUAUGUUCUUUGCCUCCAAAGCCAUUCUAAGAGCAUCCGCCUGCACCCAAAUUCUUGAAGCUAUAAAAUAUGAUAAUCAAAUGCAAACAAUGAAAGCUUUACCAUAAAGCACAAAUCAUAACACAGUUCACUUCAGAACAAAUAUCCAUACGAAAAACAAAAGCAUCAAAGCUAAGAGCAUCCACCUGCAACAAAUUCUUCAAGCUAUAUAAAUACACUUACCAAAUGCAAACAACAAAAGCUUUACUGUAAAGCACGAGAGCCUUAGUAAAAAAAUAUCCAUACAAGAAAUACAAACUUCAAACUAAGAGCAUCCAACUGAAACAAAUUCACGAUACUAUAAAUACACUAAUGAAACACAAACAACAAAAAAAUAAAACAAAAGCUUUACCAUAAAGCACGAACCGGUAACAUUGUUCACUUCGCAAUAGAUAUACAUAAAACAAAAGCUUCAAGCUAAAGGCAUCCACAAUACCAUAAAGCACGAAUCAUAAACAGUUCAGUUUGGAAGGAAGAAUAUAUCCAUACAAAUAACAGAAACUUCAAACAAAAAGAAUCCAACUGAAACAAAUUUUUGAAGCUAUAAAUACACUAAUGAAAUGCAAACAAUGAAAGCUUUACCGUAAAGCACAAAUCAUAACAUGGUCCACUUCGGGGGGAAAAAACAUCAAGCUAAGAGCAUCCAACCAAAACAAAUUCAUGUAGCUAUAAGUAAACUAAUGAAAUGCAAACAACAUAAGCUUUUACCAUAAAGCACAAAUCAUAACACGGUCCACUUCAGGGAAAAAACAACAUCAAGCUAAGAGCAUCCACAUCUAAGAAAUUCUUCAAGCUAUGAAAUACAAUAAUAAAUGCAAACAACAAAAGCUUUACCUUUAAGCACGAACCAAAAACGUCAUUCAGUUCAUAACAAAUUCACUUUCAUACAACACUAUCCUAGAAUCAAGUAACAUGCCAAUUUUUCUACAAUGAAGGAUUUCUAUUCUUGCCUGUUCAUCGGUUAUUUUACGCAAAGGUGAACCGCCACCGAUAGCAGCAUACCCUUCUUUGCUCUUAGGAGCUCUAAGAACAGAUAUUAACUUUGCCAAUGGUCGUUGAAGAAACCUCAAUAGCCGAGGCAACCGUAUAAUAUCCUACAUAAAACAAACAUUAAUCACACCAUUGAAACUUAAAAUUAAAACCCCGAAAUGUUUAUUAAAAGGAUCAAAGGAGACCUAACAUACAGGAUCAGCAAACAAGUUAUACAAAAAGGGUUGAACAUCAUUAAGUGUCUCGGGACCUCCAAGGUUCAAAAGCAAGACCCCAAGUUUCUCUUCCACAAUAUGUGAGUGAUGAGAUUCCAUAACAUUUUCAGGGAAAGUACAAACACCCAGAGCGCAAUUCAUUUGUAGCCUCAAAUUUCUCUUUUGAAUUUGUACAUUACUGAGAUUGGGUCCUUUGAAAACGCUAUGAUUUUGAGUAUUCAAAUCAGAAUUUGAGAAAUAGCGUGACCCAGAAGCAAUAUAUCUGCGCCGAUUAAUCGACCUGGAAAAUAAAGCAAAAAAAAAAUUGGGAAACAAAAACUUCAUAUAUAAAUCUUUGAUCAAAACCCAGAAAGAAACAAAGGGCUAACCUUGAAAAUCUGUAAUUACGAUGGAAGAUAUUGGAUCCAGAUAAAGAUGCUGCUGCUGCUUCCAUGGUUUAUUGAUCUGAAGAACUAUUUCUCUUUGGGAUAGAAAAGAGCAAAAGAAAAUGAUAAAAAAGAAAAAUCAAUGGAAACUGGGUUUUAGGUGGAAUUCUGCGGGGUUAGUUGAGAAGAAAAUGGAGAAAUUCUUAUUAUGAAAAAAAAUCAAAAAGUCAAAUCAAUACAACUACGGUCUACGGUCCCAAUGAGUAACACGUAUUGUUUAAGAAAGUUAAGAGCUUUAUUAGUGUUUUUAUUAAGACGUUCAAAGGUAGGCUUUUUAAUGUGAUGGAGAGGCCUAAACCUCCAUAGCUUCCUAUGAAGCUCAAAUGCUACGGCACUGCUUCUCAUUUUAUACUUUAUAUAUAUAUAUAUAUAUAUAUUCCCAAUUUUUUGGAAUUUUUCAGCACCCAAGCUUGAUUUUUUUUUUUGCAAGCAUAAGUUAACUUAUAUUUCAUAUUAUGAUCUUAUUAUUGAAUAUUUUAAGUAAAAUUAUAAGCUUUAAGCAAAAAUAAUAAUAAUAAUUAUAAGCACUAAAUAUCUAUUCAAAUUAACUAUAAAUAAGAAUUAAAGAUUACAUGCCACAAUCUGAUUAAUAAUUGGAAUUAUCCAAAGUUAAAUUAUAAUAAGUCUUUGAGAGAACUUGUACACAAUACUGACUUUAGAAUUUUUUUUAGGGUUAUCAGAAUUGAACUAUAAAUUGUUGAGAGAUAGGGUGUUUAAUAAAUAGAGUUCUAAAUUUUUUUUAAUUGAUUUAGGCACAAAUAGAGAAUUAGGUAAUAAAACUCUCUAAUUAUAAUAUUUGGUAAAUGGAGGUUUCCAAAAACUUAAUAAUAUUUUAGCUCAACGACUUUUUGCAAGCCUUUAAAACAAAAAAAAAAGAAAAAAAAGUAUAUAUAGAUAUUUUUUUUCACAACUGACUUAUUUUAAAUAAUUAAGCUUUUAUUAAUUUUAAUCAUAAUUCGGUAAAGGUGGAAAGUUUUUUUUAUAAAUAUUUCUAAAAAAAAUAAACUUAUCAAUUAAAUAAAUAAUAAUUAAUAAAUAUCAUAUAAUAGUUGUUUUGAAACAUAAUUUUUUAAUUAAAAUCAAAUAUAAGAAAAAACGAAGAAGAAAAUAAGAGUGACCAAAAUGAAAAUUUAUUAAAGCUAAGUGACUAAAAUAUGUGUACAAUAACAUCGCCUAACCCCAAACAAAUAACAAAUGACUAAAAUAAAAAGAUCUAUAAGAACAAUACCCUUAUUGCAAAAUUCUUAUUUCAAUGCCUAAAAUAAAAACUUAUAAAAAUUAAGUGACCAACUAUAUAAUUUACUCAUUAUUAUAUGAUUAGUUGAUAGGAUAAAAUCUAUGGUAAGCUAUACAAAUGGUCAUUAUUAAGUGACCAACUAUAUAAUUUACUCAUUAUUAUAAAAAAAACCUCUCUCGAUUAACAAGUCAUUUUUCGAGUUAAUUCCUGACACCAAUGGGUUUAUAUUGAAACUUUAUUUUCUUUUUCUUUUUCUUUUUCAUUAGUUUUCUUCUAAAUAUAAUAUUUUAUAACCCUUUAAUUGAUAAAAUUUUGUCUAAAGAAAAUGGAAAAACCUUAAAAAAAAUACUUUAGAUUUACUCUUGUUGUUAACGUUAUGAUAUUUCCUUCAAGGUACAUAGAAAUAAUCCUAGAAGUUGGCCUUUGAAUUUGGAAAUAAAAUCCAGAGUUAAAAAAUAUAGCUUUGAAAAAUCCAAUUGUUCAAACAAUAAUUAUAUAAUAAAACAUUAUGAACAUUUAAAUUUUCAUAAGAAAAAAUGUAAAAGAAUUAAUUGAUAGUGUUUUUUAAUUUUAUAAAUCGAUUAAGAGAUUAUCAUGUAUUCUAUUUCUUAUUUAUUUUUAAUUUUUAAAUCCAUAAUAAAUAAUACGUAUCACUAAUAACAUAAUUUAGAGUUAAAUUAUUUACCAAUGGAUUAAAAACAAAAAUUAUUUUUUACAAAUAUUAAAUUUUUAUAUAAUUUUAUUAUAUAUUAUAUAUUUAAAAAUUGUAUUUUCUAUUAUUUUUAAUUAAUUUCUAACUUUAAUUUCUUAAAAACAUAAACAAAAAGGGUUAUGUACCGAAUUGGAUAAUUUCAACUAUAAAUAAAGACAAUUAAUAGAUGUUGAAUGUCUCUGUUUUAAGAGCUAAAAGUUUUGGUUAGAAAGUUUAAGGAUCAAAUUGAUAGAAUUUAUAAAUAUGAAGGGAUAAAUUUAUUGAAUUGUUCAAAAUUAGGACCAAAUUGAUAUAAUAACUAAGAAUUGAGGACUAAAUAUGUUAUUAUACCAGUUAAGAAAAGACUUUCCAUUAUCAAUUUAGAACAAAUUUAAAUACUAGUGCCUAAAUUGAAAAUUUGUAAAGUUGAGUGGCCAAAACAAAAACACAAGCAUAAUUAGGUGACCAUUUGAACAAUUUACCCUAAAAAUAUAAAACAUUCUAUACCAGAUUAGAUUAUAUAUAAAACCACAAGCAAUUGUCAGAGAACAAUUAUCUUUUCGUCUCGAACCGAAAAAAGAAUUAUCGGAACUCGGAAGUGCGUACCCACAAAGCAGUUCUCCAGAUUUAGAAGUUAGAACUUAGAACCAAAAUUAUAUAUAUAUUUUUGGUAAAGUUUUUAAAUCGCUUUAAAAUUAAAAAAAGAAAAAGAAAAAGGUUUUGAAUGAUCAGUGAUAGCGGCACACACACACAAAAAACAAGGUAGUGGACACACUAACUAGCAUUAUUGCGAGAACAACACAAAAACACUGAAAGGGUAAAUUCGGCUUCACAAACAGAUCAAAAUUUCAGAUGAAAGUAACAUAGUUGUAGAGAAUGUAGCUGUUUUUUAUUGUUUGGCUGCAGAGAAAACGCAAGAAAAUAUAGUAAAGGUCCUAACAGAGUUGUAUAUGAAGAGAAAAUAUCUCUCAUUAUACUAAUAAGAACAUUAUUACUCCAUAAUAAUACUGAAUAUAAUUGAAAUCCAAAACAUCAACCAUAUCGAUAAUCUUGGAUGUGCAAAUAGCAUAACUACCUCACUUCAUAUAUAUAGAUCUGCUACUAGAACUAAAAUUCAAAGCAAAUUUGAAAAGAGUAUACAUAUAUAAAUGAGAAACCGAUGCACUCUCUACAGCAUCCAUAGCUGGAGAAGUAAUCACCGGCGACAAAUUAACAGCAUAACUACGUCACUUCCAUAUAAGAUGUAUAAAAAGCGAAAAUAUCUCUAAUUAUACUAAUAAGAACGUUAUUACUCGUAAUAAUAUUCAACAUAAUCAAAAUCAAAACAUCAACCAUAUAAUAAUCUUUGAUGAGCAAAACAGCAUAACUCACUCAUAUAUAUAGAUCCGCUACUAGAACUAAAAUUCAAAGCCGACUUAAAAUGAAUUAUAUAUAAAAAUGAAAAUCCGAAACACUUUCUAGAGCAUCCAUAGCCGUAAACUCAUGGAAACGCCGUAACAAGAUGCAUCAUACUCAGAGCACGAGAGUGGAGCCGAAGAGCAGAGCCACGGCGGCGGCGAAAACAGAGACGAAUGAGGGAGUGAUAGAGCCGGUUCCUGAGGUAGGACUUGGAGCUGGAGCUUCAGCAGCCAUGGCAGAAGCCAUUAGAGCAAAAACAGAGACGAAAACAAGCAUCAAAACAUUCAUGGAGGAAGCCAUUUUUUGAUGAAAAUUUGAAAUUCUCUCUUUAAGCGAUCAAUCUAAAGGAAGAAAAAUAUUUGAAAUUUUUUGAGGGCAGUGAGAGGCGUGAGACAGGUGGGGUCGGUAUAUAUAGAGGGAAAGUUCGGGCAGCUGCCUGGAUUUCCAGCGUGGUUAGAGUUGGCACAUUUCAAGGGGCUUCUUUUUUGGGGGCAAAAUCCAAGGGGCUUCCUUAAUUUGGUUAAUUGCGUAUAAAAUUUCCAUUUACAGAUUUCGGGUAAAUGUACGGCCGAGGGAUAAGGGUAAGAUUGUACUUUCUCAUUCUUAAUUCAAAAAAUAAGUAAAUUAAUUUUAAUUUCUGUAUAUUAGACUAAAGUAUAAAUUUAUAAUUUUUAUUAAAAAUAUGCCACGAGAUAUAGUGACUAGUUUUUAAAAGUUAACUUUUUAAUUUAAUAUAUAUGGACCGAUUUGCCCAUUUUUUUAAUAAAAUGAACAAAAUAUAAUCUAACUCCCAAUAUAAAAAUUUUUAUAAUACUUUUACCUUUCACAGUAAUUUUUUUGGUAUGUUAAAGUUUUCACCAUUAAUAUUGGUUAUGUUUAUUUCAAUGACAAUGACUUUAUAGAGAAAGAAAUUAUAGUUGGUAGGAUUCACCAACCGUUGACAUGAGCAAAUCACAAACACAGUCAUAUCAUUGACAGUUAAUUACAUGAUGUGUGGGCCUUGAUUAAUGUACUAAUAGUUGGCGUUCAAACCAAAGAAGUACCAAUGGUAUCGGCUGGUACAUCUCAUACCAGUAGUAAAACGGAACCUCAGGGUAUACAUUCUAUUCCGGUAAAGUUUCCGGCCAAUAUGUUUCGUCAGAUUUCCGGUAAAGUAUCCGCCCGGAAUGCUAGAACUAGAAUUUGUGGCUUUGUUUUGUUGGUAGUUUGAUGGUUUCUCGGGUUUAUGAGUUUAUGCUAUAAGCUUUAAGCUCUUUCGAUGGCUUAAAAAAAGAAAUAAUGAAAUAUAAACCGAUACGAAUGUCAUCAAAUGUGAGAUUAUUUUCGCUCAACAUACCUUAAUUAUAAGUUGAUAUAUAUAGUUUAUUAUCUCCAAAUAACUUCAUACAAUGAUUAGAUUUGAAUAAAAUGAGCAUAAUUUUAUUAGAGAAAAAACUGAACAGACCAAAAGAAAAGCCUUUUCAUUCUCCUUUUUUCUCAGUGGAGAAUAUAAGAAUAAAAGACGAAUCAAAAUCGUGUGGGAUUUUUUUAAAUUUAAACGAUUCUUUAUAAUAAUAAAAAGCAUGAACUUAAAAAGGUACAAAAAAAAAAGUUCAAGAAAAUAUAAACCAUUAAAAAUGGUUAUCAAACAGCAUCAACUUUUCGUCUCGAAUCCACGAAGUGCGUAACCACGAAGCAAAUUUCCAGGUUUAGAAGUUAGAACCGAAAUUGAAUUUUUGGUAAAGUAUUUAAAGAUGCUUUAAAAUUUAGAAAGAAAAAGAAAAGAAAAGAAUGUUUUGAAAGAAUAGUGGUGAGCAAGCACUAACUAGCAUUAUUGCGAGAAACGUGAAGCAAUGGAAGGGUAAAGUUGACUUUAAAAUCUGAACAAAUUUCAGAGGGAAGUAGAAUAAUCAGUAGCGUGCAAUGUAACAUAAUUGUAGAGAAUGUAACUGCUUUAAUUGUUUGGCUGCAGCGAAAACGCAAGAAAAUAUUCAAAACUACGUAAGAAACUAUGAAACAAAACGGAGAAUAUAUAUAAAAAGUGAAAAUACCACUCAUAAUACUAACAAAAUAAUUGAAGUCCAAACAUCAACAAUCAAAUAAUCUUUGAUGCACAUAAUUACAUCUCUCUCAUAUUAUAUAUAGAAUCAUCCCUUAGAUCUACUAUUAUUAUUGAAAUUCAAAGCCGAAUAUAUAUAUAAAUCCAGGAGCCUCUCUACAGCAACCGUAGAAGCCAUAACAAGGUGCAUCACCUUCAGAACCGGAGAGCGGAGCCGAAGAGCAGAGCCACGACGGCGAAAACAGAGACGAAUGAAGGAGAGAACGAGCCGGAUCCCGACGUAGGACUUGGAGCUGGAGCCUCGGCAGCCAUGGCGGAAGCCAUUAGAGCAAAAACAACUAGGGAAAGAAGCAUCAGAAAAUUCAUUGAGGAAGCCAUUGUUGAUUGGUUACUGAAAAACUUGAAAAUUUUCUUUUUAAGCUUUAAAUCAAAAGAAAAUUUUGCGGGUAGUGAGAGUUGUGAGAUAAGUGGGGUCGAUAUAUAGAGAGGGAAAGUUCGGGCAGCUGCCCGGAUUUCCAGCGUGGUACAGUUGGCAUUUUCGAGGGGUUUCCUUAAUUUCGUCAAUUGUUUAUACGUGUGUAAAAUUUUCAUUUAGCGCCCCA